GUUCGUGUGCGUCCGUGGACAGUGACCGGUCAACCCUUUUAAAACGCAUUUCAUAUUCGGAUAUCUCAAAUUAGAAAUCUCACAUCCAUAUUAUUACAUGCAACGCGAAACCUAUUCUAUGCGGAGCUCGUCCAGUUCCGCUCCCCGCUCGCCCGGCUUUGCCCUGGCCAUGUCCGGCAGACGGCUGCGCUCCUCAGAUUGUUGGUCCGGUCGCCAGUAAGGUAGGGUAGGGCAUGGGACACGAGCUGGCUCAUGGGACUCAAGGCCCCGCCGUCUCCCAUGCCCUACUUCCUCGCCGGAGACCAGAACCCGAACGGUGCCGGUGGACGUCAGAUCGAUGAUGGAUCUGUCUGGGGAUGAGCCGCCGACGUCCACCAUGAUGCGGUUGCGGCGCCUGGACUGAUGCGCCAUACGAGCUGAUACGUCUCCGUCGUAUCUACUUUUACAAACACUUUUGCCCUUGUUUUGGACUCUAACUUGCAUGAUUUGAAUGGAACUAACCCGGACUGACGUUGUUUUCAGCAUAAUUGCCAUGGUGUUAUUUAUGUGCAGAAACGAAAGUUCUCGGAAUGACCUGAAAUUGCACAGAACACCUUUUCAGAAAUAAUAAAAAAUCCUUGCAAAAGAUGAAGACCAGGGGCCCACACCCUAGGGCGCGCCUGCCCCCCUGGGCGCGCCCCCCCUACCUCGUGGGCCUCCUGGAGCUCCUCCGACCUCAACUCCAACUCUAUAUAUUUGGUUUCGGAGAGAAAAAAUCAAGGAGAAAGAUUCAUCACGUUUGAAGAUAUGGAGCCGCCGCCAAGCCCUAAAACCUCUCGGGAGGGCUGAUCUGGAGUCCGUUCGGGGCUCCGGAGAGGGGAAUCCGUCGCCAUCAUCAUUGUCGAUGUCAAAAUCGGCGGCUCUCAGGUAGGGGGUCCUGAACUGUGCGUCUAGGCGGAUGGUAACAUGAGACGGGGGACACGAUGUUUUUACCGAGGUUCGGGCCCUCUCGAUGGAGGUAAAACCCUACUCCUGCUUGAUUGAUCUUGAUGAUAUGAAUAUUACAAGAGUUGAUCUACCACGAGAUCGAAGAGGCUAAACCCUAGAAGCUAGCCUAUGGUAUGAUUGUGGUGUUUGUUGGUCCUACGGACUAAACCCUCCGGUUUAUAUAGACACCGGAGAGGGCUAGGGUUACACAGAGUCAGUUACAAGGAAGGAGAUCUACAUAUUCUCUCUGGCAAGCUUGCCUUCCACGCCAAGGAGAGUCCCAUCCGGACACGGGAGGAAGUCUUCAAUCUUGUAUCUUCAUAGUCCAACCGUCCGGCCAAAGGAUAUAGUCCAGCUGUCCGGAUAUCCCCUAAUCUAGGACUCCCUCAGUAGCCCCCGAACCAGGCUUCAAUGACGAUGAGUCCGGCGCGCAGAUUGUCUUCGGCAUUGCAAGGCAGGUUCCUCUCCAAACUCUGAGUACCUACUAAAUGGUGCCCGGCUUCUUGUAAAUGUUGCGCUUCUUGGCUUCUGCGUCCAAUAAUGGCCAUCUUCCACGUGUCAAGCGAAUGUGAGGAGCCAGGGUGUUUUCACAUUUACCACCCCAUCUAUGUGAAUGAACUGUCUAUUAAAGAGACAAGGAUCCUUAGAUCCAAACCACACCAUCCUCCCUCAGCGAGCAUUCAUCAGAGCGCGCCCGAAAAAAUCCACCCCAACAUGGUCGGCCAGCCCAGCUCCUCCUCUCGCUCCCGCAGCCCCAAGCCCGGAGAUUGGGAGAAGUGUUCCGUCCCAUACAGCCAAUUAGUGAAGCUACAGACCCAGGGAUUUCUCCCUCCGGUGUAUAUGGUCCCAGUUCGAGCUGGGCUCGCCACCUAUAAUGGCAGGGAGUAGGCGGAGAGCUUUCCUAACCCCUCUAAGGGAGAGCGGGUAUGCCUUGUCCCUUAUAUGUUAAGGGGACUCGGAUUUCCAAUCCAUCCAUUUCUCCGAGGGCUCCUGGAGUUAUACGGCCUCCAGUUGCACAACCUCACCCCUGCCUCCAUACUGCACAUCGCCGGUUAUGUAGCCCUUUGCGAGCUGUUUCUGGGUUGCGAAGCUCAUUUCGCGCUGUGGAAGAAGUUGUUCUGCCUUGUGCCCCGUACACAGAGUGGAUCAAUAUAUCAAGUGGGCGAAGCCGAAGUAUGGUGCAUCGCCGGGACCGGAUACCUAUCUGGUACCCCGAAAUAGACGUUCGAGGACUGGCCUUCGGAGUGGUUUUAUAUGGAGGAUGUUCCUCUCCCGGAUCCUAUUCGGAUUGGUCUUCCUGCGUUCGACAACGCCCCUUUGAAUAAACACCUAAGCUAGCGCCCACGGAGCCCACAGGAGGAAGAUGAUAGAGACGUACUUUAUCUGAUGGGCCGGAUAAAGUUGCUGGCCAAAUCAGGACUGACCAUAAUCGAGGUUAUGGCAAUAUGCAUUAUGCGGGGGGUGUAGCCACUUCAAUCUCGAGGCCACCCCAUGUGGCACUUCAACGGGGAAGAUGAUGCCACUAGCUGCGGGCGCAAGGGACCGGACUCAGUUGCUUCUCUAGCAAAAAUUCUAUCCAGUCUGUAUAAGGGGGAAGAAGAGGAGUUCCUCUGCAUCAAGCCACGGGAUGGAUUCUCCAUGAACAACCCUCGAAGCUGGGUGAGCUUCCGCUCUUUUUACUUCCAUCCUACCCUUGUUUUCAUCAUAAAUAUUUACCUUGCCGUUUCAUCGCAGGAACUGCGUAAGGCGGUAGGGGAGAUCAAUAGCCCACCUCCAUGAUAACCCACAAGUAUAGGGGAUCGCAACAGCUUUCGAGGGUAGAGUAUUCAACCCAAAUUUAUUGAUUCGACACAAGGGGAGCCAAAGAAUAUUCUCAACUAUUAGCAGCUGAGUUGUCAAUUCAACCACACCUGGAAACUUAGUAUCUGCAGCAAAGUGUUUAGUAGCACAGUAAUAUGAUAGUGGUGGUAGCAGCAACAAAAGUAAAGACAACAAAAGUAAUGUUUUUGGUAUUUUGUAGUGAUUGUAACAGUAGCAGCGGGAAACUAAAUAAGCGUAAACCAGUAUAUGGAAAACUCGUAGGCACCGGAUCAGUGAUGGAUAAUUAUGCCGAAUGCGAUUCAUCAUGUAACAGUCAUAACAAAGGGUGACACGGAACUAGCUCCAAUUCAUCAAUGUAAUGUAGGCAUGUAUUCUGUAUAUAGUCAUACGUGCUUAUGGAAAAGAACUUGCAUGACAUCUUUUGUCCUACCCUCUGGUGGCAGCGGGGUCCUAUUGGAAACUAGGGAUAUUAAGGCCUCCUUUUAAUAGAGAACCGGAACAAAGCAUUAGCACAUAGUGAAUACAUGAACUCCUCAAACUAUGGUCAUCACCGGGAGUGGUCCCGAUUAUUGUCACUUCGGGGUUGCCGGAUCAUAACACAUAGUAGGUGACUAUAGACUUGCAAGAUAGGAUCAAGAACUCACAUAUAUUCAUGAAAACAUAAUAGGUUCAGAUAUGAAAUCAUGGCACUCGGGCCCUAGUGACAAGCAUUAAGCAUAGCAAAGUCAUAGCAACAUCAAUCUCAGAACAUAAUGGAUAGUAGGGAUCAAACCCGAACAAAACUAACUAGAUUACAUGAUAAAUCUCAUCCAACCCAUCACCGUCCAGCAAGCCUACGAUGGAAUUACUCACGCACGGCGGUGAGCAUCAUGAAAUUGGUGAUGGAGGAUGGUUGAUGAUGACGACGGCUACGAAUCCCCCUCUCCGGAGCCCCGAACGGACUAUAGAUCAGCCCUCCCAAGAGGUUUUAGGGCUUGGUGGCGGCUCCAUAUCGUAAAAUGCGAUGAUUUCUUCUCUCUGAUUUUUUCCUCUCCGAAAGCAACUAUAUAGAGUUGGAGUUGGCGUCAGAGGGCAUCCAGGGGGCCGACGAGGUAGGGGGGCGCGCCCUAGGGGCGCCCCCACCCUCGUGAGAAGGGUGUGGGCCCCCUAGUCUUCAUCUUUGGUGAGGAUUUUUUAUUAUUUUUUCUAAGAUGUUCCAUGGAGUUUCAGGUCAUUCCGAGAAUAUUUGUUUUCUACACAUAAAACAACACCAUGGCAAUUCUGCUGAAAUCAGCGUCAGUCCAGGUUAGUUCCAUUCAAAUCAUACAAGUUAGAGUCCAAAACAAGGGCAAAAGUGUUUGGAAAAGUAGAUACGACGGAGACGUAUCAACUCCCCCAAGCUUAAACCCUUGCUUGUCCUCAAGCAAUUCAGUUGACAAACUGAAAGAAAGAAAAACUUUUACAAACUCUGUUUGCUCUUGUUGUUCUAAUUAUGUCAAGCUAGCAUUCAAGUUUUCAGCAUAGAUCAUAACUAACCACAUUUGCAAUAAUUCUCAGGUCUCACAAUUACUCAUAUCAAUAGCAUAAUCAACUAGCAAGCCAUAAUAAUAAAUCUCGGAUGACAACACUUUCUCAAAACAAUCAUAAUAUGAUAUAACAAGAUGGUAUCUCGCUAGCCCUUUCUGAGACCGCAAAACAUAAAUGCAGAGCACAUUUAAAGAUCAAGGACUGACUAGACAUUGUAAUUCAUGGUAAAAGAGAUCCAAUCAUAGUCACACCCAAUAUAAAUUAACAAUGAUGAAUGCAAAUGACGGCCGUUCUCUCCAGCUAGUGCUUUUUAAUAAGAGGGUGAUGACUCAACAUAAAAGUAAAUGUAUAGGCCCUUCGCAGAGGGAAGCAGGGAUUUGUAGAGGUGCCAGAGCUCGGUUUUGAAAUAGAGAUAAAUUGUAUUUUCAGCGGUAUACUUUCAUUGUCAACGUAACAACUAAGAGAUGGCGAUAUCUUCCAUGCUAAACACAUUAUAGGCGGUUCUCAAACAGAAUGGUAAAGUUUAAUUAUACUCCCCCUCCACCAACAAGCAUCAAUCCAUGGCUUGCUCGAAACAACGAGUGCCUCCAACAUACAUCAGGUCCCAGGGGGAGUUUUUUUUGCAAUUAAUUUUGAUUUAGUUUGCAUAAAGCAUGGGACUGGGCAUCCCGGUGACCAGCCAUUUUCUCGCGAGUGAGGAGCGGAGUCCACUCCUCUUGAGAAUAACCCGCCUAACACGGAAGAUAAGGACAGCCUUGGUUGAUACAUGAGCUAUUCGAGCAUACAAAACAGAAUGUUUAUUUGAAGGUUUAGAGUUUGGCACAUACAAAUUUACUUGGAAUGGCAGAUAGAUACCGCAUAUUGGAAGGUAUGGUGGACUCAUCUGGAAUAACUUUGGGGUUUAAGGGAUUGGAUGCACAGGCAGUAUUCCCGCUUAGUACAGGUGAAGGCUAGCAAAAGACUGGGAAGCGACCAACUAGAGAGCGACAAUACCCAUGUACAUGCAUUAAAAUUAAUAAACAUUGGAUGCAAGCAUGAGUAGGAUAUAAUCCACCAUGAACAUAAAUAUCGUGAAGGCUAUGUUGAUUUUGUUUCAACUACAUGCGUGAACAUGUGCCAAGUCAAGUCACUUAAAUCAUUCAAAGGAGGAUACCACACCAUCAUACCACAUCAUAAUCACCUCAAUGGCAUGUUGCUACACAAGGUAAACCAUUAUAACUCAUAGCUAAUCAAGCAUGGCACAAGCAACUAUGAUCUCUAAUUGUCAUUUCAAACAUGUUUAUUCAUAAUAAGCUGAAUCAAGAAUGAGGGACUCAUCAUAUUUACAAAAACAAAAGAGGUCGAGUUCAUACCAGCUUUUCUCAUCUCAGUCAGUCCAUCAUAUAUCAUCAUCAUUGCCUUUCACUUGCACGACCGAACGAUGUGAAUAAUAAUAAGAGUGUAUGUGCAUUGGACUAAGCUAGAAUCUGCGAGCAUUCAAUAAACAGGAGAAGACAAGGCAAUAUGGGCUCUGGGUUAAAUCAACAAUAAUGCAUAUAAGGGCCACUUCAAUGACUUAAUUAUGGUAUUCUCCUACUUACCCCCAAAGAAAAGAAAUAAAACUAUUUACACGGGAAAGCUCCCAACAAGCAAAAGAAGAACGGGAAAUAUUUUUGGGUUUUCUUUUUAAUUAUUACUACUACAGCAGAAAAAUAAACUACUACUAAUUUUUUGUUUUUUCUUAAGGUUUAGCAAACACACAAGAAGAAGGCAGGAAAAAGAAAAUAAACUAGCAUGGAUAUUACAGUGAAAAAGUAUGAGCACCGACAUCUAGCAAUGAGUGUGUGUGAACAUAAAUGUAAUGUCAGUGAGAAAUACGUACUCCCCCAAGCUUAGGCUUUUGGCCUAAGUUGGUCUAUGGCCACGGCUGUCCUGGCGGAUAUCCAUAAUAAUAGUUGUUGGGGUCGUACUGUGAUGAGGUAGAAUAGUUGGGAUCAUACUGAUGUGCAGUGGUUAUCGCCUGCUGAGCUGCAGCGUGGAGUCGAGCUGCCUCCGCCAUCCUCUCAUACUCUUCUGCCUCCUCUCUGGUAAUAACAUAUCUUCUUUUUGUCUGUGAAUCAAAGAAGGCGGGAGCAGGGAGAGUAAUAUGGAAAACGCGUCGUUUAUCAAAAAUUAAACGAUAUAAGAGAGGUGAUUUAGGCCUCUCGACAAACUGGUGCGAAGCCAUAGAGUCGUAAUGUAAAUAUGUAGGAGGCAACUCCGUAUCACUCUCAUGAAUGUCUAUCUCAAGAAAAUGAGCUAAGCGGGUUGCAUAAAUUCCUCCAAAGAAAUCUCCAUUAUGUCUAUUAUGAUGCAACCUACGAGCUACAAUGGCUCCCAUAUGAUAAGAUUGGUCUCCUAACAUAGCACUCCUGAGAAUGCUAAGAUCGGGGACACACAUGUGACAUGCUUCAUCCUUAGCAUUUGUGCAUCUACCGAUGAAGAGAGCAAAAUAAUGUAUAGCAGGAAAGUGAAUGCUCCCUAUGGUAGCCUGCGUUAUAUCUCUAGAUUCCCCCACAGUUAUACUAGCAAGAAAGUUUCUAAAUUCAGAUUUAGGGGGAUUCCUAACACUACCCCAUGAUGGAAGUUUGCAAGCAGAAGUGAAAUCCUCUAAGUCCAUGGUAUAAGAUUUGUCAUAGAGAUCAAACAUGACUAAACGAGAAUUACGCGAAGAUGAAUACUCAAACCUCCUCACAAAUGAACUUGUGGGAUCAUGAUACUGGGGGCAUUUGUUAGCCUCAAAAUCCUCAAGACCGGCAUUGUGCAAAUAUGCUUUGAAUUGUUAUUUAAUUCCCGCACGGUCCAUAAAAUUUUCCGACGGCCAUUCGCAAGGCCGUACUGGAGCAUCUCUUGGUGGAUCCUCAUCAAUAUCGCGUAUAGCAAUCCUGGGUCCUUGCUUCUUAGAUGAACCACCUUGGAACAUCUUCCUAAGCAUAUUGUUUUUCUCAAGGAACAAUCUCCCCAAGCAGUUUUGCGAGAGGUGCUUUGAGCAAGGAGAUCGAAAAUCACAGCAAAAGUGGCUGGAACUCGUGCUUGAGUUGGUUUUUCGGGUUUGUGUGAGAUAGAGGAAGAAGAUGGGUGCUAGGAUAAGUGGAGGAGGGCCACCAUGGGCCCACGAGACAGGGGGGCGUGCCCUAGAGGGGGGCCGCCCACCACCCUCGUGGCCAGGUGGCAGCUCCUCCCGUGGUAAUUUUUGCACAAUAAAUCCUCAAAUAUUCCCGAAACAAUCACAUUAAAUUGGCAUGUCAUUCUGAGGACUUUUAUUUUCGGGAUAUUUUUAUGUUGCACGGAUAAGUUAGGAAACAGACAGAAAAAUACUAUUUUUACUUUAUUUAAUAUAAAUAACAAAAAGUAUAGAGAGGGUACAAAAGGUUGUGCUUCUAUUUCAUCCAUCUCAUGCUCAUCAAAAAGAAUCCACUAACAAGGUUGAUCAAGUCUUAUUAACGAACUCAUUCCGAAUAACAUGGAACUGGAGAAAUUUCGAAUAACACUAUGUUACCUCAAUGAGGAUAUGCACAUCCCCAAUAAUAAGAAUAUCAUAUUUCUUCUUGACAGUAGGAAGAGGAAAUUCAAAACCUCCAAAUAUAAUCGAUGGAAUUUUUCCAAUAGAGUUGAUACUAUGAACUUGAAGUUGUUUCCUCAGAAAGUGUGCCAUAUGCUCAUUACCAUUAACAUGAAAAGUGACAUUGCCUUUGUUGCAAUCAAUAAUAGCCCCUGCAGUAUUAAGAAAAGGUCUUCCAAGAAUAAUAGACAUACUAUCAUCCUCGGGAAUAUCAAGUAUAACAAAGUCCGUUUAAAUAGUAACGUUUGCAACCACAAUAGGCACAUCCUCACAAAUACCGACAGGUAUAGCAGUUGAUUUAUCAGCCAUUAGCAAAGAUAUUUCAGUAGGUGUCAGCUUAUUCAAGUCAAGUCUACGAUAUAAAGAGAGAGGCAUAACACUAACACCGGCUCCAAGAUCACAUAAAGCAGUUUUAAUAUAAUUUCUUCUAAUGGACCAAGGUAUAGUAGGUACUCCGGGGUCUCUGAGUUUCUUUGGUAUUCCACCCUUAAAAGUAUAAUUAGCAAGCAUGGUGGAAAUUUCAGCUUCCGGUAUCUUUCUUUUAUUAGUAAUGAUAUCCUUCAUAUAUUUAGCAUAAGGAUUUGUUUUGAGCACAUCAGUUAAUCUCAUACGCAAAAAGAUAGGCCUAAUCAUUUCAGCAAAGCGCUCAAAAUCCUCAUCAUCCUUUUUCUUGGAUGGUUUCGGAGGAAAAUGCAUGGGUUUCUGAACCCAAAGUUCCCUUUCUUUACCAUGUUUCCUAGCAACAAAGUCUCUUUUAUCAUAACGUUGAUUCUUUGAUUGUGGGUUAUCAAGAUCAACAGCAGGUUCAACUUCUACAUCAUUAUCAUUACUAGGUUGAGCAUCAUCAUGAACAUCAUUGUUAAUAUUUUCAUUAGGUUCAUGUUCAUUACCAGAUUGUGUUUCAGCAUCAAACAUAGAAAUAUCAUUUGGAUUAUCAGGUGGUUCAGCAAUAGGUUCACUAGAAGUUUGCACAGUUCUAUCAUUUUUCUUUUUCUUCUUUUUAGAAGAACUAGGAACAUCAAUAUUAUUUCUUUGAGAAUCUUGCUCGAUUCUUUUAGGGUGGCCUUCAGGAUACAAAGGUUCCCGAGUCAUUCUACCAGUUCUAGUAGCCACUCUAACAUCAUAAUCAUUUUUCUUACUAUUCAUUUCAUCCAGCACUUCUUUUUGAGCCUUAAGUACUUGUUCUACUUGAGUGGUAACCAUACAAGCAUGUUUGCUAACAAGUUUAAGUUCACCUUUAAUAUUAGCCAUAUAAUCACCCAAGCGUCUAAUCAUAUAAGCAUUUUCUUUUAAUUGUCUACCAAAAUAAGCAUUGAAGUCGUCCUGCUUAAACAUAAAGUUAUCAAACUCAUCCAAGCACUGACUAACAAUUUUAGUAGGAGGAAUUUCAGAUUUAUCAUAUCUAUAGAGAGAAUUUACCUUUACUACCUAUGUCGGGAUAUCGGGAUCAGGAGGUUCUUCAGUAAAUAAAGAAUUGAGAUCAUAUGUUUCUUCAACAGGCAGUGAAUUAAGACCAUGUAUUUCUUCAAUAGGAGGUAAAUUCUUAACGUCUUCAGCUUUAAUACCUUUCUCUUUCAUAGAUUUCUUUGCCUCUUGCAUAUCUUUGGGACUGUGGAAUAAAACACCUCUCUUCUUCGGAGUUGGUUUAGGAAUAGGCUCAGUAAUUGGAGCAGGAGUUGGCUCAGGAGCUGGCUCAGGAGGUUCCUAAUUAUUUUCAUUUGUCAACAUAUUAUUCAAUAAGAUUUCAGCUUCAUCCGGUGUUCUUUCCCUGAAAAGAGAACCAGCACAACUAUCCAGGUAAUCUCUGGAAGCAUCGGUUAGUCCAUUAUAAAAGAUAUCAAGUAUUUCAGGUUUCUUAAGAGGAUGAUCAGGCAAAGCAUUAAGUAACUUGAGAAGCCUCCCCCAAGCUUGUGGGAGACUCUCUUCUUUAAUUUGCCUGAAGUUGUAUAUUUCCCUCAAAGCAGCUUGUUUCUUAUGAGCAGGGAAAUAUUUAGCAGAGAAGUAAUAAAUCAUAUCCUGGGGACUACGCACACAACCAGGAUCAAGAGAAUUAAACCAUAUCUUAGCAUCACCCUUUAAUGAGAACGGAAAUAUUUUGAGUAUAUAGAGGUAAUGCGAUCUCUCAUCAUUAGUAAACAGGGCAGCUAUAUCAUUUAACUUAGUAAGAUGUGCCACAACAGUUUCAUUCAUAGCCAUAAAACGGAUCAGAUUCAACCAGAGUAAUUAUAUCAGGAUCAACAGAGAAUUCAUAAUCCUUAUCAGGAACACAAAUAGGUGAAGUAGCAAAAGCAAGUUCGGGUUUCAUUUUAUCUCUAAGUGAUUCUUUGUUCCAUUUAACUAACAACCUCUUAAGCUCAUAUCUAUCUUUGCAAGCUAAAAUAGCGGCAGAAGAUUCCAUCUCAAAAAGAUAACCCUCAGGAAUAACAGGCAUAUUUUCAUCAUCACUAUCAUCAUUGUAUUCAGAUUCAAUAAUUUCUUUUUCCCUAGCCCUAGCAAUUUGUUCAUCAAGAAAUUCACCAAGGGGCACAAUAGUAUCAGGCAUGGAAGCAGUUUCAUCAUAAGUAUCACGCAUAGCAGAAGUGGCAUCAUCAAUAACAUGCGACAUAUCAGAAUGAAUAGCAAAAGCAGGUGUAGGUGUCGCAAACUUACUCAUAACAGAAGGUGAAUCAAGUGCAGAGCUAGAUGGCAGUUCCUUACCUCCCCUCGUAGUUGAGGGAUAGAUCUUGGUUUUGGAUCUCUCAAGUUCUUCAUAGUGUCCAGCAGAUAUAAAUCCCAAGUGACUCAAAGAAUAGAGCUAUGCUCCCCGGCAACGGCGCUAGAAAUUGGUCUUGAUAACCCACAAGUAUAGGGGAUCGCAACAGAUUUCGAGGGUAAAGUAUUCAACCCAAAUUUAUUGGUUCGACACAAGGGGAGUGUCGGUGUCAAAACCGGCGGAUCUCGGGUAGGGGGUCCCGAACUGUGCGUCUAGGCCGGAUGGUAACAGGAGGCAAGGGACACGAAGUUUUACCCAGGUUCAGGCCCUCUUGAUGGAGGUAAAACCCUACGUCCUGCUUGAUUAAUAUUGAAGAUAUGGGUGUUACAAGAGUAGAUCUACCACGAGAUCAGAGAGGCUAAACCCUAGAAGCUAGCCUAUGGUAUGAUUGUAUAUUGUGAUUGUUGUCCUACGGACUAAAACACUUCGGUUUAUAUAGACACCGGAGAGGGUUAGGGUUACACAAGGUCGGUUACAAAGGAGAAGAUAUCCAUAUACGUAUUGUCUAGCUUGCCUUCCACGCCAGGUAGAGUCCCAUCCGGGCACGAGACGAAGUCUUCAAUCUUGUAUCUUUAUAGUGUAACAGUCCGGCCAAUGGAGAUAGUCCGGCUUUCCGGAGACCCCCUAAUCCAGGACUCCCUCAGUAGCCCCUGAACCAGGCUUCAAUGAGGAUGAGUCCGGCGCGCAGUUGUCUUCGGCAUUGCAAGGAGGGUUCCUUCUCCGAAUACAUUACAGAAGAAGGUGAAUACGAGGAUAGUGUCCGACCCUGCAAAAUAAGUUCCACAUUCCACCAUAGAGAGAAUAAUGUUUUCACAGAUCUAAUCCGCUAGCUUGUUCUGGCAACAUGACAUUAAGUCAUGGCCCGGUGAUUAUUCGAACCGUUUCUUUUAACCAGCCCCGCACAUAACGCGAGGCAGUUUUUUGACACGUCUUGUCAAAGCAGAGAUCGUGUCCCCUUAUUACGUGAUUCUCAUCAAUACGGGCAUGGGUAACCCAACCGCGCCAUCACUUGAGGCGCUUGGGGGAUAAGCGAGUUUUACUAGGCAAGUGGGGACGCUUAAUUCUCUUCGCCCAUAUAAAGGGAUAAGGAUUCACCUUUCUAUCCACGCCUUCUUCCUCCUCUGCUCAUCCGCUCCCGCAUACUCGAGCUCUAGCGCCCAAGUCCUCACUUCCAUCUCAACCUUCUCCAACCAUGUCCGGAGCGGGAGGCAAGUGGAUGGUCUCCUCCGUCACGGAGGGAGACAUCAAGAAACUAAGGAGAGCCAGAUACCUGCCCGACGACAUUGCGCACCGGCUCCCAGAUGAAGGACAGCUCAUCCCAACCCCCGAGCCCCAUGAGAGGGUGGUAUUCCUCACCCAUUUCCUCCGCGGACUGGGAUUCCCUCUCCAUCCCUUCGUCCGAGGCUCAUGUUUUAUUACGGCCUGGAUUUCCACGAUCUGGCCCCGAACUUCAUCCUCAACAUCUCGGCGUUUAUCAUCGUGUGCGAGGCCUUUCUCCGCGUCAAGCCCCACUUCGGCCUAUGGCUGAAGACCUUCAACGUCAAGCCGAAGGUAGUGAGCGGCCGCCAGGCAGAGUGCGGAGGCGCCAUGGUGGGCAAGAUGCCCAACAACACAUGGCUCGAGGGCACCUUCGUGGACACCAUAAAGGGGUGGCAAUCGGGGUGGUUCUAUAUCACCGAGCCGCGUGACCCUGCAUGGGUAGCGGCCCCCGAGUUCCGAUCUGGCAUCCCCAUGCGGCUCACCUCCUGGAAAGAGAAGGGCAUGUCCUGGGGUAAUUCAAAAGAGCUGACCGGACUCCAGUCAUGUACUCAGAACAUGGUGGACAAGAAGCUCAAGCUUGUCAACAUAGUCCAGGUUAUGCUCGUCCGCCGGAUACUCCCAUGCCAACAACGGGAGUUUACCUUGUGGGAGUUCAACCCGGCGCAGCACCGAACUCUGAACAGGCUCUUCGACACGACUCAUGAAGAUGCCUGGAGGGUGCUGCUCAAGGGCGCCGCGGUCCCUCCUCACAUUACUGAGGAUCGCGGAUUCAGCGCAAAGCGCCAAGCCAGUGCGGUAAGCUGUUUUACCUUUUACAGGAUACUUGUUUUCUAUACAGAUUGACUCCAUGCGGGAUCUAAAUUCCCAUGUCGUUAACAAGACUGGCAAAAAAUGGCCGGAUAGAUCGACUGUCCGGCUCCCUUGCCUGAAGGCCCCGCAGACGCUCUUCUGACGAAGAUGCUGACUCCGACCCCUUAUAAGGUGCCGGAGAAGACCAAGAAGGCCAGGGGAGCUCGAAAGAGUUCCCGACGCCAGGCAUCGUCGGACUCACCGUCCGAUGAUUCUGCGGCGCACUCUUCCCUCGAAGACGAGGAAGAGGAAGAAGAGGCUCCCCGACCGACUAGGGGAGACAAGAAAAGGAAGGCCGCCUCAACUGGGGAGGCCGGAGGGUCCAAGAAGGGAAGGACGCUCUUUCCGGACAGCUCCACCGCCGCCAACGAAAGUGAAGACGAGUGGUUGCCCAAGGGCAAGCCCUUGGGGAGAUCGUAAGUGUUCGGAAACCAAAGUAACCCAUAGGAUUCCUUUUUUGCAUUGCUUUCCCUAACGCCGAACUCCAUUGUGCACGCCGCCCCGAGCCAAUAUCGAGGUAUCCUCGAACGGCUCCCUGGGCGCGUCGGACAUGGAUAGCGAUCCAGUCCCGACCGCCACCUCCCCUCAUCUAGCCGACGACACCGAGGUACUAUCUCAAGAGGCACCGGAUCGAGGGGGAACAGUCCCGGAGGCGCCUCAAGGCGACCUUCUGGACUCCGGGAGCUGAGGGGACGGGGUCCCCGAGAGCACCGAGUUCGGCCCUCAGCCGAACACCGCGCCGGACCCUCCAACGGCUCCAAGCUCGGGUAGGCGGCCCCCUUCUGAGGGGGGUGAGACGCAUGUGCCGGUGACCUCUGUCCAUCCAGAGGCGCCGGACACUAUGUUGGAAGCGCUUCGUAGCGCUUCCAUCGAGGAGGAGCACCGCACUAUCAUGAGUGCGGUGAUCCAGAAGGUUCAGUCCACCAAGAGCGAAUUGACUGAAGCCUGUACUAGCCUUCUAACAGGCUUCGAGGUAAGUGUUUUAAAAUGUAGUAGAAAUAUUACCGCAUUGACAGUAGCCCCUGAUGCUUUGUUCGGUGUUCACAGAGAAAAGCCGAACAGAGGAUCAAAUAAUAUCGCAGGACUCUAAUAUAAGUAUGUCAAUAUGCAUAUGCAGGCUUCGCUGCUGGCGUCCGCCGCACUAACGGCGGAGGUCGCCGUACUAAAGGAGGCCCUCGAGGGGUCCUAGAAAGAGCUCGGCCUUGCUAAGAGGUAGCUCGAGGAGAACAAGGGUAAGUAAUACCCCGUCUAUAGAUGAGAAAAAGGACGCGAUUGCUAAAUGACAGCAUCAUUGUAUGUUUGCCAGGGGCCACGACCGAGGUGGCGACCCUGAAGAAAACGCUGUCCCAGGCCGAAGAGAAGGCGGCCCAGGAGCGCACCGAGCAAGAGAGGCACGAGGCUCGGGUGGGCGAGGUGCAGCAAGAGCUCCAGGCUCUCGUGACGAAGCACGAGGCGUUGGAGCUUGACUUGAAGACGUGAGAGUCUGAGCUUGCCGCGGCCCGUGAGAGCACGAAGAGUCCCAAGGCCGAGGCCCAGAAGGCCCUUCAGCAGAUCGACGCGAUGAAGAAGAUAUCGGCGGGUAAGGCUUUCUAUAUGCAAAGUGAGUAUGUAAAGGUGAAUUACCGAUUACUUACCCGAAUCCGGAGCUCUUCAGGAGCAUUCGCAGAUUUGCCCCGCAGUGUGUCCGAUGCCGCACAAUUCUACUGGGCCAGGGACGGGAGCUCGACGGAGAAGUAGUUAUAGUCUUAGUAUGCUGAGGCCGAACAUCCGGUGCCAUUGAGCGACCAGCUGAAGUAGAUGGCCGAGCUACAUAAGGCGGCCGAUCAGGCCAUGAAGGGAUUCAUAGUCCGGUUGUGGCCUCGCGAUGCCCUUCCGAACAGCUUCUUCAGCCUGGUGAGGCGGCUUGUGGAUGCCUGCCCACGGCUGGAGGUCGUCAAGCGAUCCGUCUGCAUUGAAGGUGCACGCCGGGCCUUCGCCCGUGUGAAAAUGCAGUGGGUCAAGCUGGACGCCGUGAAGCUUAUCAAGGAGGGGCCGCCGGAGGGCAAGGAGCACCGCCACCCCGAGAUGUACUACGAGGGUGUUCUACCGGGCACCCGUCUUAUCGUGGAUGAGUGUUCACAAAAUGUAAUAUUUGAAUGAGACUUGCUCGUUUUGUAUCCUGUGUGAUGAAAACUUGUUUCAUAUGCGCUAUGCAACGCUUGUGUGAAUUUAAAAUAUUACCUUCUGUUUGGCUGUUUAUCCAAUCUGAGAGAUGGCUAUUCCUCGGCUUCUGCCCCCAUACCACUAGUGCUGGGGUGUUCGGGAUAAACCUAAGCACUCUUGUUCCCAUGUUUGGGUCCUUCGAGGGAGGUGCUCAGCACAACGAACAAGGCAACCGGACUAAUAAUGCUUUAUCACUCUCACUUAGCCAUAGAAUUCUAUAAUUUUUAAUUUGGGCGAAGCCCCUGGUAUUCGGAAGGCCGAAUUUGGGGCGCGAUAAUGGAGCCGGCCCUUCGCCCUAAGCAGCAUAAGUCUUUAGGGACUCGAAAAACCUCGCCGAACAGCGACCAGUCUCUCGCCUUAUCAUGACAGUCAGUUUUAGCUUUCUCUACUGAGGUGCUCGGCCCGGUAGAACCGGGGCACAAUCGCAGUAGUUCUCCUAGCGCUACCUUAGCCGAUAGAGCGGAACGUAAGGUACCAAAACAUAGGAGCCGGGCAAACCCAACAUUUGACCAAAGACAUGAUCCGGAGCUGGUGCAUAUAAUGCUAUAAGUUCGGGGUGCCGUACUUGUGAAAGUAUUCGGACUUUUCACACCAUAUUGUGAGUACCACUAGUAGAAAACGGAGCUUUAAAACCGGUUCGUAAGGGCCUUUAGUGCCGGUUCCAUAACCGGCACUAAUUGGUGGGCACUAAAGGCCCUCCCCCCUUUAGUACCGGUUCGACACGAACCGGCGCUAAAGUGCCACCAUGUGGCGUGAGCUCGCGCCCUGGUAUGGGGGACCUUUAGUACCGGUUGGUGUUACCAACCGGUACUAAAGGGUUUUUUUAAUUUAUUUUGAAAUUUUUGGAAAUUUUUUUUGAUUUUUUUUUUCUGAUUUUUAAUUUUUCUGAAUUAUUUGGUGAUUUAAUCUCUAAUCACCUCUCUUAACUGCUCAAGUGUGUAUCACUCAUUCCAAAUCAUCUAACUUUCCGAUCGGUCACCCAUCCCUCUCACUACUCCAGCCCAAGCACGCUUAACUUUCAGGUUCUAUUCUUCUUCGUUUCCAAGUCUGCACUUGUUGUUUUCCUGACAGUAGUAAGAUGCCAAUCCUAUUAACCCUCAGGAGUUUAGCUUGAGCAUCAAGUCACACAUUUCACUGUUUGAGUUUGAAACUAUUAUUCUAAAAAACAAUAAUUAUUUAGUAACACUAAUAUUUCUUGAAUAAGUUUGACCAUAGUUUGACCACAGUUUGACCAUAGUUUGACCACAGGUUGACCACAGUUUGACCAUAGUUUGACUAGAUUUCACCAAAAUUCAAAAAAUUGAAAUAAUUAUUUAGUAACGCUAAUAUUCUUGAAUAAUUAUGUAGUAACAUUAAUACUUCUUGAAUAAGUAGUUUGACCAGAUUUAACAAUUUUUUUUAAAAAAACUUAAAUUUGACCAUAUCUUUUUUUCCUUUUGGAAUUUGAAGAUUCUAAAAAAUUGCAAACAGGCCGUAGGCGAUCUCCAUCGGAUGCGGAUUUUCGUGCUGAAUUCUUUGAUAUAUUAUACGUUUUUUUCUGACAUCGUAUGCAAAAGUUAUAGCCGUUUUACAUUUUCCCUACACUUUUUGCAAAACAUGUCCAAAUUUAAGUUUUCAAAUUUUCCUAACGUGUAGAUGUAGUAAUAUAACUACCUCUCGAAGGAUUUUAUUUUUUGAAGUUUUUAUCAUUUUCUUUGAUCUUUUUCCCAACGUGUAGAUGUAGGGUAGAGUUUGAAAAUUACCCUAUAGUGCUGGUUUGUGUCUUCAACCGGGACUAUAGGUUAACACUCUGUAGUGCCGGUUGGUGACACAAACCGGUACUAUAGGUUAGACCUUUAGUACCGGUUUGUGUCAAAAACCGUCACUAAAGGGGCUCGUGGGGCCCUGGCCUGAUGCCAGCCUGCCACCACCCCUUUAGUACCGGUUCAUGGCACGAACCGGUACUAAAGAUUCAUUACGAACCUGCACGAAUGCAUAGCCAUUCGAACCGGCACUAUUGAUCACAUUAGUGCCGGUUUUUUUACAAACCGGCACUAAUGUGCUUCACGUUUGACCAUUUUUCUACUAGUGACACGUAAGCCCCUGGUGCAUUGGCCGUACCAGAGUGUACGGUUGCUAGGUGUCAUUAAUGAACACAUAGAUGUGUAUGCAUAUAACAAAAAUGCGAUAAUAGUCGUAAUGUCAUGCAUUGUAUAUUAAAAAAUUGCAUUAAAGCAGAGUGAUACAGAUAGUGUAAUAAGCAAAAGAGUAGGACUAUGUCCCUUCCAAGGGCGAGCUGAGGAAUUAUAUGAAAUCUGUAAUCCACCUAGGAAUUCCGUAGUUGUCGGCCUCCUUUGUUGCUGUAUCAUGUGUUCGGCAAUAGAGCUGCCAGACAGUGUUUCCAGAGAUUGAAGUCCUGAAAGAAAGAGAAAAAUAACUAAACAGGAAGCCCCUGGUGCGGUUUAGGCCGCGUUUUGGGGCGUGCCGUAGUUGUGCCCCCCCUCCCCACCUGUGCCCAUGGUAUUUUUAAUGCGUAAUUAUGUACGUGCGGCACGAACAACGCCAUUGGGCUAGGAUUGGGGUGGCCGCCGUAUUGCUAAGCGAGCUCAGAUCGCGUCAGGCGGUCUGUUUGCCGAUUGUCCCGAGCGCGCCUGAAAGUGUCCGGGCUUUGAAACGCCGAACUGGUAGAUUGCCUUGAGAGGCUGCUUUGCGCCUCUGCCACAAGGGCCGCGCUGUGCUCCUCUGUUCGGAGAGAGCGCUCUAUGUUUCCGUUGACUAUAAUAACUCCACGAGGUCCUGGCAUCUUGAGCUUGAGGUAUGCAUAAUGUGGCACCACAUUGAAUCUAGCGAAUGCGGUUCGUCCGAGCAGCGCGUGAUAACCACUUUGGAAUGGGACUAUAUCAAAGAUUAACUCUUCGCUUCGGAAGUUAUCCGGGGAUCCGAAGACCACUUCCAGUGUAAUUGAGCUUGUGCAGUGGGCCUCUACGCUUGGAAUGACGCCUUUAAAGGUCGUCUUAGUGGGUUUGAUCCUUGAGGGGUCUAUACCCAUUUUGCGCACUCUGUCCUGAUAAAGCAGGUUCAGGCUGCUGCCGCCGUCCAUAAGGACUCGAGUGAGGUGAAAUCCGUCGAUGAUUGGGUCUAGGACCAGUGCGGCGAAUCCGCCGUGACAGAUACUAGUGGGGUGGUCCCUGCGAUCGAAGGUGAUCGGACAGGAGGACCAAGGGUUGAACUUUGGGGCGACUGGCUCCAACGCAUAUACGUCCCUGAGCUCACGCUUCCGCUCCCUCUUGGGGAUGUGGGUUGCGUAUAUCAUGUUCACCGUCUGCACUUGCGGGGGAAACCUCUUCUGUCCUCCAGUGUGCGUCUGCCGGGGUUCUUCCUCGUCAUCGCUAUGCAGCCCCUUGUCCUUGUUUUUGGCAAUUAACUUGCCGACCUGCUUGAACAACCAACAAUCCUUGUUGGUGUGAUUGUCGGCUUGUCUGGGGUGCCAUGUAUUUGACACGAGCGAUCGAGUAUACGGUCCAAGCUGGACGGACCCGGCAUACUUUGUUUGAAUGGCUUUUUCCACUGACCGGGUUUAGAGCCUUUGAAUUCGACAUUGACUGUCGUAUCCUCAGUACUUUUGCCGUUAAUGCGGAGCUUAUGCUUGUUGCGAUGUGACCUGCUGUUGCCGUCCUUGGUAUCUGAGGUACCUUGGUUCUUUGAUAUGUUGUUACUGUGAGCCAACCAGCUGUCUUCUCCCGCACAAAAGCGGGUCAUGAGCGUCGUGAGGGCUGCCAUAGAUUCCGGCUUCUCCUGACCAAGGUGUCGGGCUAGCCACUCGUCUCGGAUGUUGUGCUUGAAAGCCUCUAAGGCCUCCGCAUCCGGACAUUCGACGAUUUGAUUUUUCUUUGUAAGGAACCGAGUCCAGAAUUGCCUGGCCGACUCUUCUGGCUCCUGAAUUAUGUGGCUCAAGUCAUCGGCAUCUAGUGGUCGCACAUAAGUGCCCUGAAAGUUGUCGAGGAAUGCGGCUUCUAGAUCUUUCCAACAGCUAAUGGAGUCCGCUGGCAAGCUCUUAAGCCAGUGCCGUGCUGGUCCUUUGAGUUUUAGUGGGAGGUAUUUGAUGGCAUGUAAGUCAUCACCGCGGGCCAUGUGGAUGUGGAGGAGGAAGUCCUCAAUCCAUACUGCGGGAUCUGUUGUGUUGUCGUAUGAUUCAAUGUUUACAGGUUUGAAACCUUCUGGGAAUUGAUGUUCCAUUACUUCGUCUGUGAAGCACAAGGGGUGUGUGGUGCCUCUGUAUUGGGCUAUAUCGUGAUGCAGCUCGUAUGGGUCCUGCCCGCUGUGUUUGGCCUGGCCAGAUUUGCUUUUACUGUAUCUGGCGUGACGUUUACCGUCUCGUAGAGUGGUGCGCCCUCGUGAUCCGUAGAACGAUGUUGAAUGCUUUGCUUUGUCCUCCAAUAUGUCUCGCAGGCCUGGCAUAUCUCCCCAUGCCUUUUUAUUUGGAUGGCGUUGGGGUGGAGGCUGAGCUUUUGGCUGGAAUGCCUCUCUAUUGCGGCCACGAGGUGGCCGAUCAGCCGUAUCAUACGCUUCUUCCUCCAGUCGGGGUAGUAACCUGCGCCUUCGGUAACUCUUGGAGGGACAGUCGAGUUUAUAUUCCUCGGCCGCGAGGACUUCAGUCCAUUUGUCAGCUAGCAGGUCUUGAUCAGCUUGAAGCCGCUGCUGCUUUUUCUUCAGGCUAUUUGCCGUGGCCAUAAGCCUGCGCUUGAAGCACUCUUGUUCGACGGGAUCCUCUGGUACGGCGAAUUCAUCAUCGUCGAGGCUUGCCUCGUCUUCAGAGGGGGGCAUGUAAUUGUCAUCCUCCUCCUCUCUGCCAGCCGCCCUCUCAAGAGAGCUGGCUCCUUCAUCCUCCUGCUCUAAAUCUUGCUGGAGGGGAUUGCUGUUGUGUUCGGCGCUAUCCGGAGUGUUAUUAUCUCCUGUGCUGGUAUCACCACUUUUGCUUUGGCGGGACUUAGAGCGGCGCCGCUGACGUCGGCGCUUGGGUUGCUUCUUGGAGGGGUCAUCCUCCGCUAUCUCGUCGCCGUUGCCUUCAUUGGGUGUAUCCACCAUCUAUAUGUCAUACGACGAGGUGGCUUUCCAGUGCCCUAUAGGUGCUGGUUCAUGUUCGUCUCCUACAUCGUCGUCCAUACCGUCGAUGUCUUCGGAGUCGAAAUCGAGCAUGUCGAUUAAAUCAUCGACAGCGGCUACAAAGUGGAUGGUGGGUGGGCGUCGAAUUUCUUCGUCGUCCGCAUCCCAAUCCUGUUGGCCAUAAUCCGGCCAGGGCUCUCCUGACAAAGAGAGAGACCAUAGUGAAUUCAGGAUGUCGCCGAAGGGCGAGUGCUGAAAGAUAUCCGCGGCGGCGAAUUCCAUGAUCGGCACCCAAUCGGAUUCGAUUGGCAGGGGCGCGGAUGGUUCUGGGUCUGGAAGAGAGUCCGGCACCUUGGAGUCACGGGCCGUGCGGAGGAUUAUGCUGGUGUUUGGCUCGAUCGUCAUCGAGACUGCAGCCCCUGAGGCGGUGUCUAGCCACCCAUCCUAGAUUGGCGCAGUUGGCUCCGAGCUAAGGGUCGGAGCUGAUGCAGGCGCGGCCUCUGGGGUACCGUCCGGUGGCAGAGCUAGGUCAUACCCAUCGCUACAGUGCGGCGCACCUGGCUGUGGCUCGAAUCCGUCAAAGAAAGUCCCCACGGAUGUUGGCCGUGUAAUUCAAACUUCCAAAUCUGACCUGAUGGCCAGGGGCGUAGCUUUCAAUCUGCUCCAGAUGGCCAAGCGAAUUAGCCUGCAGUGCAAAGCCGCCGAAUACGAAGAUCUGUCCGGGGAGAAAAGUCUCACCCUGGACCGCAUCGCUACCAAUGAUAGUGGGAGCCAUCAAGCCUAACGGCGACGACACAGAGGAACUCUCAAUGAAAGCACUAAUGUCGGUGUCAAAACCGGCGAUCUCAGGUAGGGGGUCCCGAACUGUGCGUCUAGGACGGAUGGUAACAGGAGGCAAGGGACACGAAGUGUUACCCAGGUUCGGGCCCUCUUGAUGGAGGUAAAACCCUACGUCAUGCUUGAUUAAUAUUGAAGAUAUGGGUGUUACAAGAGUAGAUCUACCGCGAGAUUAGAGAGGCUAAACCCUAGAAGCUAGCCUACGGUAUGAUUGUAUAUUGUGAUUGUUGUCCUACGGACUAAAACCCUUUGGUUUAUAAAGACACCGGAGAGGGUUAGGGUUACACAAGGUCGGUUACAAAGGAGAAGAUAUCCAUAUACGUAUUGCCUAGCUUGCCUUCCACGCCAAGUAGAGUCCCAUCCGGACACGAGACGAAGUCUUCAAUCUUGUAUCCUCAUAGUCUAACAGUCCGUCCAAUGGUGAUAGUCCGGCUGUCCGGAGACCCCCUAAUCCAGGACUCCCUUAGGGAGCCAAAGAAUAUUCUCAAGUAUUAGCAGUUGAGUUGUCAAUUCAACCACACCUGGAAACUUAGUAUCUGCAGCAAAGUGUUUAGUAGCACAGUAAUAUGAUAGUGGUGGUAGCAGCAACAAAAGUAAAGACAUCAAAAGUAAUGUUUUUGGUAUUUUGUAGUGAUUGUAACAGUAGCAGCGGGAAAGUAAAUAAGCGUAAACCAGUAUAUGGAAAACUCUUAGGCACCGGAUCAGUGAUGGAUAAUUAUAUCGAAUGCGGUUCAUCAUGUAACAGUCAUAACAUAGGGUGACACAGAACUAGCUCCAAUUCAUCAAUGUAAUGUAGGCAUGUAUUCCGUAUAUAGUCAUACGUGCUUAUGGAAAAGAACUUGCAUGACUUAUUUUGUCCUACCCUCCUGUGGGAGCGGGGUCCUAUUGGAAACUAAGGGAUAUUAAGGCCUCCUUUUAAUAUAGAACCGGAAAAAAGCAUUAGCACAUAGUGAAUACAUGAACUCCUCAAACAAUGGUCAUCACCGGGAGUGGUCUCGAUUAUUGUCACUUCGGGGUUGCCGGAUCAUAACACAUAGUAGGUGACUAUAGACUUGCAAGAUACGAUCAAUAACUCACAUAUAUUCAUGAAAAAAUAAUAGGUUCAGAUCUGAAAUCAUGGCACUCGGGCCCUAGUGACAAUCAUUAAGCAUACCAAAGUCAUAGCAACAUCAAUCUCAGAACAUAAUGGAUACUAGGGAACAUAAUGGAUACUAGGGAUCAAACCCUAACAAAACUAACUCGACCUCGGCCUCAAAGAGGAUUCUGACAUAUUCGUGGAGCUGAUUGAUAGGAUUUUCUAUCAGCUAAGCUGCGAUGACGCCAUGGUGGCCAUUAUAGCUGACUACCCUGGGCUACUACCAGCCUCACAAGUAAAUGAGACCGGAGCCCCAACAUUUGAAAAGGAUUUCCUUUUACGCACUUCACCUACCAUAUACAAAUGGUGUUUUAUAGGGAAGGCCCUUGGGACGCCAUGUUGAGCCCGCGGCGACUCGCCCACGAGGGGUUUCAAAGCCGGACAUGCUAAAAAGGAAGGCGGUCCAGACGGAGACGCCGACGCAGAGGUAUGAUGCAACACCUCACUCCGUGGUUGUCGUCCUUAAAAACAUAAUAACACCCAUGCUUCCUAGAAGGAAGAACGCUCGCCGGACAAUAUCCGGAGAGGUCGCCGAUCACGCCUCUACCAGUCGGGCUCCAGGGCCGGACAGAGAGGCGGAAGCUAACACAAGGCACACGCUGGAUGCUCCUUCUACAGAGGAUGCGGAUAAGAUAUCCGCUACGAAUUCCGAAGUGGAGAGCGCCAUGAAUCACAGGCGUCACCGAGCCGUACUCCCUGACGCUUGCUUCUCCCGAGAGGCGUUUGAGGAAUUCAACUUAGCAGAUGCGUACAUCCGUGCUGCUCAAAAUGGUCUAGCGAGAGCCAUGGACCAAUAUGUAAAGGAUGUACGGGUAAGAAAAUUUGAUGAGUAUAUAUAUUAGUAGCCCCUGAGACUUGAAACAGUUGGUACAACUGAUUUAAGGAUCAUUUAUUGUGCAGGUUCUUACAGAGAAGAAUACUCGAGAAUUGAAGGAACCAACUUCGGGCCGCCGUUACCGCAUUGAAGGAACCUAAAAAGUCCCCCGCUGGUAACAUUUAUUUCAAAGAACGAUAGGUACCAUAUAAUGUGCGGCAUGGCUGCAGAUCUAACAAUAGAUAUUACAGAUGACUCUGGAGAGAAUCCGGAGGACCAGCAUGUCGUACGACAGCUAAAGGCUGGCGAACGCGUGCUGACUAAGGUCAUACGGGAGAAAAAGAAUCUCCAAGAUGCCAAUACCAAGAUGAGCGUGGAAUUGAAAGAUGUUCAAGCCCAGCUUGUGGACUCCAUGAAGGAGAAUAAGCGGCUUCGACGCGACAUUUUCAGUAAGUGCUUGAACGAACCCUUAAAAGAGUUUGGCGAAGAAGCCGGCUAAUAGAGUUAUGUCUGCAGGUAUGCUGAUGGGUCGUCCCGCGGAGGAGAUGCCCGGGUCAGUGGGUGAUCUUCUACCCGAGCUCUCACAACUGCAUGAACAAGUUCGGCAGGUGAUGCAAAGUAUUGCCCAGGCCUUGUGGCCAUCCGUCUCCCUGCCAGCAGGCAUUGGAGAUCUUGCGGAGAAGCUCAAGGGAGCACGGUGGCGCUUCCGAUUAUGGAAGAUAUCGGCAUGCCGUCAAGGCGCCAGGGAAGCCUGGGCCAUGGUGAAGACGCGGUAUACCAAGGCUGACCCAAACCACAUGGCCGAGGUCGGACCUGUGGCGGCCGAUGGGAAAGAGAUCCCCGUUAGCUUAGUGUAUGGGCAAGUAGAAUGAGUCGCAAGGUAUUCCCAACAGGAUUGUAGGCUAGACAGCCUGUUGGAUGGUAUAGAAGAGGAAUUUAGUCAAUCUACAUGACUAUGUAAUUAAAGUGACAUGUAUAAUGCCUUCUAGCCAGAUUGUAAAUCAUUUGUCAUGGCGGACCUUUUCGCUUCAACCUCGGGACCUGAUAGCCCGGAGUGUAUCCGAAUACCUGCUCAGUUAUAUAAGAACCGGGGUAUGCGUGGAAACCAGGCGUAGGGGUCAUUAGUGCUUGAACAGACAAGUACCCAACUAGUUAUGUUAUAUUACAUGGGUAGUAAGAAACAUCUUCCAGGGAGAAUAGUUCCGUUAAGGGUUCCUUUCCCUGGGUACGCAUGCCCUAAAGUGCAUGUCCAGACUACGAGAGGAGACGUAGGCAAAAACUUCUGGGGGCAGAUAUGGAAAAUAAAUAAAAAUCAUCUUUUGUUCACCGACCGAGUAUUCCCUUAAGAACGCUAGCUUUCGGCUUCACCCAGUCUGAGGUACACAUCCGGCUGACCGGGCAGUAACAAUCGCAGAGGUGCUCCCCUUAUGCCCUAGACGAAGUAACGGGAACGUAGGGCAUAAAUACAAGAGCCAGGCAACCCAGCUUGGCCAAAACUUAAGUCAUAUCGAUGCAUAUAAUGGCGAAGAAAAGGUACAUGCGAAAGAAUAACACAUGUGCGGGGCAUGAAGCCCAAAUAAAUAAUUAAGCUUCUGUGUAAGAAGCCCCCAGGUAUAAUGAGCGCGGUUAGCGCGUCAAUAGUGUGCAAGCAAGGCACAAGUUGGCCCUUGAAGGCCUUUGAGAAAGAAUAAAAGAAAGAAAGAGAGAAAAGACAGAUAAUGUAUAUGCAAAAAAUGGACAGAGGAAGGAGACGAACAUAGAGUCCGGCACUAGGCGUAGAAUCUUCGGAGCCUGGCUGCAUUCCAUGGGUUCGGCUCAAGUCGAUUAUUCGAUGCAUCCCGCAGACGGUUCGCUCCACCGGUCAGAACUUGGUCAAUAAUGAAGGGACCUUCCCAUUUGGGCUCGAUCUUGGUCUUUUUCUUCUCCGUCAGGCGUAGAACUAGCUCGCCAACGUUAUAAGUUUUGGCAUGUACUUCUCUGCUUUGGUAUCUUCGAGCCUGUUGCUGAUAGAAUGUGCUACGGGCUUUUUCCACGUCGCACUCCUCCUCCAGGGUGUCCAGACUGUCCUGCCGAUCAAGCUCGGCUUCUCUUUCUUCGUACAUGCGCACUCAAGGUGAGUCAUGAAUUAUGUCGCAGUGCAAAACCGCCUCUGCGCCGUACACCAUAAAGAUGGGUGUGUAUCCGGUAGUACGAUUCGGCAUGGUCCGCAGCCCCCAGAGUACGGAGUCGAGCUCCUCUACCCAGUGCGUGUUAGACUCCUUUAAGGACCGCAGUAAUCUGGGUUUGAUGCCGCUCAUGAUAAGACCAUUUGCUCGCUCAACUUGGCCGUUAGUUUGUGGGUGAUAGACAGAAGCAUAAUCGAGCUUGAUACCCAUGUUGCUGCACCAGAGUUUUACCUCGUCGGUCGUGAAGUUCGUGUCAUUGUCAGUGAUGAUGUUGUGGGGGACGCCAUAACGGUGUACAACCCCGGAUAUGAAGUCUAUCACUGGUCCGGAUUCGGCCGUUUUAACGGGUUUGGCUUCUAUCCAUUUUGUGAAUUUAUCCACCAUGACCAGUAAGUACUUUUUCUUGUGGGUUCCUCCUUUAAGGGGUCCAACCAUGUCAAGCCCCCAGACCGCGAAGGACCGGGUAAUGGGGAUUGUUUGGAGGGCGGUGGGUGGCAUGUGGCUUUGGUUUGCAAAAAGCUGGCAACCGACGCAGCGUUGGACCAAGUCCUGUGCAUCUACCCAGGCCGUCGGCCAAUAAAAACUUGUACGGAAGGCCUUGCUUACAAGGGCCUGGGCUACGGCGUGGUGGCCGCCGAGUCCGGUGUGAAUUUCUACCAAAAGCUUUCGCCCUUCCUCUUCGGAGAUGCACCUUUGAAGGACUCUGGUAGUGCUUUUUUAUAUACAUCUCUCCCUCGUGGACCCUGUAGGCUUUAGAUCGCCGCACUAUGCAGCGUGCCUCAUUUUGGUCCUCGGGAAGUUCUUGGCUAGUUAGGUAGGCCAGGAAUGGUUCUGUCCACGGGGCGAUGAUGGCCAUUAUUACAUGGGUUGAAGGUGUUAUUUCGGUGGCAGAGCCUCCGAUUAUGCCAGAGUGUUCGGUAUCGGGCAUUUUGGCCGGGUACGGACUAUUGUUACCGGUGUCCCCUUCCCAUACCACGGAUGGCAUAAACAACCUCUCCAAAAAGAUGUUGGGGGGGGGACCGCAUCACGUUUUGCGCCGAUGCGGGCGAGGAUAUCCGCCGCCUGAUUGUUUUCCUGAGCCACAUGGUGAAAUUCGAGCCCCUUGAACUGAGCUGAUAUCUUUAGGACGGCGUUGCGAUAGGCUGCCAUUUUCGGAUCCUUGGCAUCGAAGUCUCCAUUUAUUUGGGAUAUUGCGAGGUUCGAAUCCCCACGCACCUCCAGGCGUUGAAUGCCCAUGGAAACUGCCAUCCGAAGACCAUGUAACAGGGCUUUGUAUUCGGCUGCGUUGUUGGCGUCUGUAUACAGUAUCUGUAGUACGUAUUGAACUGUAUCUCUGGUUGGGACGUCUGGACGAUGCCAGCCCCCAGACCAGCCAACAUUUUGGAGCCGUCGAAGUGCAUGAUCCAAUUGGAGUAUGCGUCGUACUCUUUAGGGAGUUCGGCUUCCGUCCAUUCGGUGACAAAGUCGGCCAAUACCUGUGAUUUAAUGGCUCGCUAGGGUUUGUAUGUUAUGUCGAAUGGGAGGAGCUCAAUGGCCCAUUUGGCAAUCUGGCCCGUGGUGUCGCGGUUGUUUAUAAUAUAAUUAAGUGGCACUUCCGAGGCUACUGUAAUUAAACACUCUUGAAAGUAGUGUCGCAGCUUCCGGGAUGCCAUGAAUACCGCAUAGGCUAUCUUUUGAUAAUGUGGGUACCAUGAUUUGCAUGGAGUGAGGACAAUGGAUACAUAAUAUGUUGGGGAAUGUAGUAAUUUCAAAAAAAUUCCUACGCACACGCAAGAUCAUGGUGAUGCAUAGCAACGAGAGGGGAGAGUGUUGUCUACGUACCCUCGUAGACCGACAGCGGAAGCGUUAUGACAACGCGGUUGAUGUAGUCGUACGUCUUCACGGCCCAACCGAUCAAGCACCGAAACUACGGCACCUCCGAGUUCUAGCACACUUCAGCUCAAUGACGAUCCCCAGACUCCGAUCCAGCAAAGUGUCGGGGAAGAGUUCCGUCAGCACGACGGCGUGGUGACGAUCUUGAUGUUCUACCAUCGCAGGGCUUCGCCUAAGCACUGCUACAAUAUUAUCCGGAUUAUCGUGGAGGGGGCACCGCACAUGGCUAAGAGAACGAUCACAAAGAACAACUGGUGUGUCUAGAGGUGCCCCCUUGCCCCCGUAUAUAAAGGAGCAAGGGGAAGGAGGCCGACCCUAGGAGGGGCGCGCCAGGGAGUAGGAUUCCUACUCCUAGUUGGAGUAGGUUUCCUCCUUUCCUAGUCCAACUAGGAGAAGGGGGGAAAGGGGGGAAGAGGGGAAGGAAGGGAGAGAGGGGCCAUGCCCCAAACCCCUUGUCCAAUUCGGACUGGGCUUGGGAGGGUCGCGCGCCACCUCCUGGUCCUUCCCACUAAGGCCCAUUAAGGCCCAUUGCUUCUUCCUCGUAUUCCCAUAACUCCUCGGUACCUCCGAAAAUACCCGAAUCACUCGGAACCUUUCCGAUGUCCGAAUAUAGUCGUCCAAUAUAUCAAUCUUUAUGUCUCGACCAUUUCGAGACUCCUGAUCAUGUCCCCGAUCUCAUCCGGGACUCCAAACUCCUUCGGUACAUCAAAACUCAUAAACUCAUAAUAUAAUUGUCAUCAAAACCUUAAGCGUGCGGACCCUACGGGUUCGAGAACAAUGUAGACAUGACCGAGACACGUCUCCGGUCAAUAACCAAUAGCGGAACCUGGAUGCUCAUAUUGGCUCCUACAUAUUCUACGAAGAUCUUUAUCGGUCAGACCGCAUAACAACAUACGUUGUUCCUUUUGUCAUCGGUAUGUUACUUGCCCGAGAUUCGAUCGUCGGUAUCUUAAUACCUAGUUCAAUCUCGUUACCGGCAAGUCUCUUUACUCGUUCUGUAAUACAUCAUCUCGCAACUAACUCAUUAGUUGCAAUGCUUGCAAGGCUUAAGUGAUGUGCAUUACUGGGAGGGCCCAAAGAUACCUCUCCGACAAUCGGAGUGACAAAUCCUAAUCUCGAAAUACGCCAACCCAACAUGUACCUUUGGAGACACCUGUAGAGAUCCUUUAUAAUCACCCAGUUACGUUGUGAUGUUUGGUAGCACACAAAGUGUUCCUCCGGCAAACGGGAGUUGCAUAAUCUCAUAGUCGUAGGAACAUGUAUAAGUCAUAAAGAAAGCAAUAGCAACAUACUAAACGAUCGGGUGCUAAGCUAAUGGAAUGGGUCAUGUCAAUCACAUCAUUCUCCUAAUGAUGUGAUCCCGUUAAUCAAAUGACAACACAUGUCUAUCGUUAGGAAACAUAACCAUUUUCGAUUAACGAGCUAGUCAAGUAGAGGCAUACUAGUGACACUUUGUUUGUUUAUGUAUUCACACAUGUAUUAUGUUUCUGGUUAAUACAAUUCUAGCAUGAAUAAUAAACAUUUAUCAUGAAAUAAGGAAAUAAAUAAUAACUUUAUUAUUGCCUCUAGGGCAUAUUUCCCUCAGUCUCCCACUUGCACUAGAGUCAAUAAUCUAGAUCACAUCGCCAUGUGAUUUAACAUCAAUAGUUCACAUCACCAUGUGAUUAACACCCAUAGUUCACAUCGUCAUGUGACCAACACUCAAAGGGUUUGCUGGAGUCAGUAAUCUAGUUCACAUCUAUAUGUGAUUAACACCCAAAGAGUACUAAGGUGUGAUCAUGUUUUGCUUGUGAGAUAAUUUUAGUCAACGGGUCUGUCACAUACAGAUCCGUAAGUAUUUUGCGAAUUCUAUGUCUACAAUGCUAUGCAUGGAGCUACUCUAGCUAAUUGCUCCCACUUUCAAUAUGUAUCUAGAUCAAGACUUAGAGUCAUCCAGAUCUGUGUCAAAACUUGCAUUGACGUAACUUUUACGACGAACCUUUUGUCACCUCCAUAAUUGAGAAAUAUUUCCUUAUUCCACUAAGGAUAAUUUUGACCGCUGUCCAGUGAUCUACUCUUAGAUCACUAUUGUACUCCCUUGCUUAACACAGUGUAGGGUAUACAAUAGAUCUGGUAUACAGCAUGGCAUACUUUAUAGAACCUAUGGCUGAGGCAUAGGGAAUGACUUUCAUUCUCUUUCUAUCUUCUGCCGUGGUCGGGCUUUGAGUCUUGCUCAACUUCACACCUUGUAACACAGGCAAGAACUUCUUCUUUGACUGUUCCAUUUUGAACUACUACAAAAUCUUGUCAAGGUAUGUACUCAUUGAAAAACUUAUCAAGCGCCUUGAUCUAUCUCUAUAGAUCUUGAUGCUCAAUAUGUAAGUAGUUUCACCGAGGUCUUUCUUUGAAAAAACUCCUUUCAAACAUUCCUUUAUGCUUUGCAGAAUAAUUCUACAUCAUCUCCAAUCAACAAUAUGUCAUACAUAUACUUAUCAGAAAUGCUGUAGUGCUCCCACUCACUUUCUUGUAAAUACAGGCUUCACCGCAAGUCUGUAUAAAACUAUAUGCUUUGAUUAACUUAUCAAAGCGUAUAUUCCAACUCCGAGAUGCUUGCACCAGUCCAUAGAUGGAUCUCUGGAGCUUGUAUAUUUUGUUAACACUUUUAGGAUCGACAAAAACUUUCUGGUUGCAUCAUAUACAACUCUUCUUUAAGAAAUCCAUUAAGGAAUGCAGCUUUGUUUAUCCAUUUGCCAGAUUUCAUAAAAUGCGGCAAUUACUAACAUGAUUCGGACAGACUUAAGCAUAGAUACGAGUGAGAAACUCUCAUCGUAGUCAACAUCUUGAACUUGUCAAAAACCUUUUUGCGACAAUUCUAGCUUUGUGGAUAGUAACACUACUAUCAGCGUCCGUCUUCCUCUUGAAGAUCCAUUUAAUCUCAAUGGCUCGCCGAUCAUUGGGCAAGUCAAUCAAAGUCCAUACUUUGUUCUCAUACAUGGAUCUCAUCUCAGAUUUCAUGGCCUCAAGCCAUUUCGCGGAAUCUGGGCUCAUCAUUGCUUCCUCAUAGUUCGUAGGCUCGCCAUGGUCAAGUAAAAUGACUUCCAGAACAGGAUUACCGUACCACUCUGGUGCGGAUCUCAAUCUGGUUAACCUAUGAGAUUCGGUAGUAACUUGAUCUGAAGUUACAUGAUCAUCAUCAUUAGCUUCCUCACUAAUUGGUGUAGUAGUCACAGGAACAGAUUUCUGUGAUGAACUACUUUCCAAUAAGGGAGAAGGUACAAUUACCUUAUCAAGUUCUACUUUCCUCCCACUCACUUCUUUCAAGAGAAACUCCUUCUCUAGAAAGGAUCCAUUCUUAGCAACGAAUGUCUUGCCUUCGGAUCUGUGAUAGAAGGUGUACCCAACAGUCUCCUUUGGGUAUCCUAUGAAGACAUAUUUCUCCGAUUUGGGUUUGAGUUUAUCAGGCUGAAACUUUUUCAUAUAAGCAUCACAAUCCCAAACUUUAAGAAACGACAAAUUUGGUUUUUUGCCAAACCACAGUUCAGAUUGUGUCGUCUCACCGGACUUAGAUGGUGCGUCUUUUUUUAACGUGAAUGCAGCUGUCUCUAAUGCAUGAUCCCAAAACGAUAUUGGUAAAUCGGUAAGAAACAUCAUAGAUUGUACUAUAUCCAAUAAAGUACGGUUAUGACGUUCGGACACACCAUUAUGCUGUGGUGUUCCAGGUGGCAUGAGUUUGUGAAACUAUUCCACAUUGUUUUUAAUUGAAGGCCAAACUCAUAACUCAAAUAUUCGUCUCUGCGACUAGAUCGUAGAAACUUUAUUUUCUUGUCACAAUGAUUUUCCACUUCACUCUGAAAUACUUUGAACUUUUCAGACUUAUGUUUCAUCAAGUAGAUAUACUCAUAUCUGCUUAAAUCAUCUAUGAAGGUCAGAAAAUAAUGAUACUUGUCGCGAGCUUUAAUAUUCAUCGGACUACAUACAUCAGUAUGUAUGAUUUCGAAAAAAUCUGUUGCUCGCUCCAUUGUUCCGGAGAACGAAGUCUUUAGUCAUCUUGCCCAUAAGGCAUGGUUCCCAAGAACCAAGUGAUUCAUAAUCAAGUGAUUACAAAAUCCCAUCAGCAUGGAGUUUCUUCAUGCGCUUUACACCAAUAUGACCUAAACGGCAGUGCCACAAAUAAGUUGCACUAUCAUUAUUAACUUUGCAUCUUUUGGUUUCAAUAUUAUGAUUAUGUGUAUCACUACGAUCGAGAUCCAACGAACUAUUUUCAUUGGGUGUGUAACCAUAUAAGGUUUUACUCAUGUAAACAGAACAACAAUUUAUUCUCUUACUUAAAUGAAUAACCGUAUUAUAAUAAACAUGAUCAAAUCAUAUUCAUGCUCAAUGCAAACACCAAAUAACACUUUUUUAGGUUCAACACUAAUCCCGAAAGUAUAGGGAGUGUGCGAUGAUGAUCAUAUCAAUCUUGGAACUAUUUCCAACACACAUCGUCACUUCACCCUUAACUAGUCUCUGUUUAUUCUACAACUCCCGUUUCGAGUUACUAAUCUUAGCAACUGAACCAGUAUCAAAUACCGAGGGGUUGCUAUGAACACUAGUAAAAUACACAUCAAUAAUUUGUAUAUCAAAUAUACCUUUGUUCACUUUGCCAUCCUUCUUAUCUGCCAAAUACUUGGGGUAGUUCCACUUCCAGUGACCAGUUCCUUUGCAGUAGAAGCACUUAGUCUCAGGCUUAGGUCCAGACUUGGGCUUCUUCACUUGAGCAGCAACUCGCUUGCCGUUCUUCUUGAAGUUCCCUUUCUUUCCUUUGCCCUUUUCUUGAAACUAGUGGUCUUGUCAACCAUCAACACUUGAUGUUUUUCUUGAUUUCUACCUUCGUCGAUUUCAGCAUUACGAAGAGCUUGGGAAUCGUUUCCGUUAUCCCUUGCAUAUCAUAGUUCAUCACGGAGUUCUACUAACUUGGUGAUGGUGACUAGAGAAUUCUGUCAAUCACUAUUUUAUUUGGAAGAUUAACUCCCACUUGAUUCAAGUGAUUGUAGUACCCAGACAAUCUGAGCACAUGCUCACUAGUUGAGCGAUUCUCCUCCAUCUUUUACCUACAGAACUUGUUGGAGACUUCAAAUCUCUCAACUCGGGUAUUUGCUUGAAAUAUUAACUUCAACUCCUGGAACAUCUCAUAUGGUCCAUGACGUUCAAAACGUCUUUGAAGUCCCGAUUCUAAGCCAUUAAGCAUGAUGCACUAAAAUAUUAAGUAGUCAUCAUAUUGAGCUAGCCAAACGUUCAUAACGUCUGCAUCUGCUCCUGCAAUAGGUCUGUCACCUAGCGGUGCAUCAAGGACAUAAUUCUUCUGUGCAGCAAUGAGGAUAAACCUUAGAUCACGGAUCCAAUCCGCGUCAUUGCUACUAAUAUCUUUCAACACAAUUUUCUCUAGGAACAUAUCAAAAUAAACAUAUGAAAGUAACAGCGCGAGCUAUUGAUCUAUAACAUAAUUUGCAAAAUACUACCAGGACUAAGUUCAUAAUAAAUUUAAGUUCAAUUAAUCAUAUUACUUAAGAACUCCCACUUAGAUAGACAUCCCUCUAAUCAUCUAAGUGAUCACAUGAUCCAAAUCAACUAAACCAUAACCGAUCAUCACGUGAAAUGGAGUAGCUUUCAAUGGUGAACAUCAUUAUGUUGAUCAUAUCUACUAUAUGAUUCACGCUCGACCUUUCGGUCUCCAGUGUUUCAAGGCCAUAUCUGCAUAUGCUAGGCUCGUCAAGUUUAACUCGAGUAUUUCUGCGUGUGCAAAACUGGCUUGCACCCGUUGUAGAUGGACGUACAGCUUAUCACACCCGAUCAUCAUGUGGUGUCUGGGCACGACGAACUUUGGCGACGGGGCAUACUCAGGGAGAACACUUUUAUCUUGAAAUUUAGUGAGAGAUCAUCUUAUAAUGCUACCGUCAUAACUAAGCAAAGUAAGAUGUAUAAAAGAUAAACAUCAUAUGCAAUCAAAAUAUGUGACAUGAUAUGGCCAUCAUCAUCUUGCGCCUUUGAUCUCCAUCUCUAAAGUACUGUCAUGAUCUCUAUCGUCACCGGCAUGACACCAUGAUCUCCAUCAUCUUGAUCUAUAUCAAUGUGUAGUCACAUGGUUGUCUCACCAACAAUUGCUCUUGCAACUAUUGCUAUCGCAUAGUGAUAAAGUAAAGCAAUUAUUUGGCGCUUGCAUCUUAUGCAAUAGAGAGAUAACCAUAAGGCUUUUGCCAGUUGCCGAUAACUUCAACAAAACAUGAUCAUCUCAUACAACAACUUAUAUCUCAUCAUGUCUUGACCAUAUCACAUCACAACAUGCCCUGCAAAAACAAGUUAGACGUCCUCUACUUUGUUGUUGCAAGUUUUACGUGGCUGCUACGGGCUUAAGCAAGAAUCAAUCUUACCUACGCAUCAAAAACCACAAUGAUAGUUUGUUAAGUUGGUGUUGUUUUAACCUUCGCAAGGACCGGGUGUAGCCACACUCGGUUCAACUAAAGUUGGAGAAACUGACACCCGCCAGCCACCUGUGUGCAAAGCACGUCGGUAGAACCUGCCUCGUGUAAGCAUACGCGUAAUGUCGGUACAGGCCGCUUCAUCCAACAAUACCGCCGAACCAAAGUAUGACAUGCUGGUAAGCAGUAUGACUUAUAUCGCCCACAACUCACUUGUGUUCUACUCGUGCACAACAUCAACACAUAAAACCUAGGCUCGGAUGCCACUGUUGGGGAAUGUAGUAAUUUCAAAAAAAUUCCUACGCACACGCAAGAUCAUGGUGAUGCAUAGCAACGAGAGGGGAGAGUGUUGUCUACGUACCCUCGUAGACCGACAGCGGAAGCGUUAUGAUGACGCGGUUGAUGUAGUCGUACGUCUUCACGGCCCAACCGAUCAAGCACCGAAACUAUGGCACCUCCGAGUUCUAGCACACGUUCAGCUCGAUGAUGAUCCCCGGACUCCGAUCCAGCAAAGUGUCGGGGAAGAGUUCCGUCAGCACGACGGCAUGGUGACGAUCUUGAUGUUCUACCGUCGCAGGGCUUCGCCUAAGCACUGCUACAAUAUUAUCGAGGAUUAUCAUGGAGGGGGGCACCGCACACGGCUAAGAGAACGAUCACGAAGAUCAACUUGUGUGUCUAGAGGUGCCCCCUUGCCCCCGUAUAUAAAGGAGCAAGGGGAAGGAGGUCGGCCCUAGGAGGGGUGCGCCAGGGAGUAGGAUUCCUACUCCUAGUUGGAGUAGGUUUCCUCCUUUCCUAGUCCAACUAGGAGAAGGGGGGAAAGGGGGGAAGAGGGGAAGGAAGGGAGAGAGGGGCCGCGCCCCAAACGCCUUGUCCAAUUCGGACUGGGCUUGGGAGGGGCGCGCGCCACCUCCUGGUCCUUCCCACUAAGGCCCAUUAAGGCCCAUUGCUUCUUCCUUGUAUUCCCGUAACUCCCCGGUACCUCCGAAAAUACCCGAAUCACUCGGAACCUUUCCGAUGUCCGAAUAUAGUCGUCCAAUAUAUCGAUCUUUAUGUCUCGACCAUUUCGAGACUCCUCGUCAUGUCCCCGAUCUCAUCCGGGACUCCGAACUCCUUCGGUACAUCAAAACUCAUAAACUCAUAAUAUAACUGUCAUCAAAACCUUAAGCGUGCGGACCCUAUGGGUUCGAGAACAAUGUAGACAUGACCGAGACACGUCUCCGGUCAAUAACCAAUAGCGGAACCUGGAUGCUCAUAUUGGCUCCUACAUAUUCUACGAAGAUCUUUAUCGGUCAGACCGCAUAACAACAUACGUUGUUCCUUUUGUCAUCCGUAUGUUACUUGCCCGAGAUUCGAUCGUCGGUAUCUUAAUACCUAGUUCAAUCUCGUUACCGGCAAGUCUCUUUACUCGUUCUGUAAUACAUCAUCUCACAACUAACUCAUUAGUUGCAAUGCUUGCAAGGCUUAAGUGAUGUGCAUUACCGAGAGGGCCCAGAGAUACCUCUCCGACAAUCAGAGUGACAAAUCCUAAUCUAGAAAUACGCCAACCCAACAUGUACCUUUGGAGACACCUGUAGAGCUCCUUUAUAAUCACCCAGUUACGUUGUGACGUUUGGUAGAACACAAAGUGUUCCUCCGACAAACGGGAGUUGCAUAAUCUCAUAGUCAAAGGAACAUGUAUAAGUCAUGAAGAAAGCAAUAGCAACAUACUAAACGAUCGGGUGCUAAGCUAAUGGAAUGGGUCAUGUCAAUCACAUCAUUCUCCUAAUGAUGUGAUCCCAUUAAUCAAAUGACAACACAUGUCUAUGGUUAGGAAACAUAACCAUUUUCGAUUAACGAGCUAGUCAAGUAGAGGCAUACUAGUGACACUUUGUUUGUCUAUGUAUUCACACAUGUAUCAUGUUUCCGGUUAAUACAAUUCUAGCAUGAAUAAUAAACAUUUAUCAUGAAAUAAGGAAAUAAAUAAUAACUUUAUUAUUGCCUCUAGGGCAUAUUUCCUUCUUAAUAUACCGGCUUUUGAAGGGGGAAUUUAUGUCCGUCCGUUUCUCGUUCGAUGACGAGCACUGCGCUUACAACCUGAGGAGUUGCCGCAAUGUACAGCAGCAUUGGUUCGCCGAUGUUUGGCGCGGCGGGGAUUGGGUUGGUUGCCAGUAUGGCUUUUAUUUCUUCCAAUCCGGCUGUGGCAGCGUCCGUCCACUCGAAUUGUUCGGUGCGCCGAAGGAGGCGAUAAAGGGGUAAUGCCUUUUCUCCUAAGCGGGAGAUAAAGCGGCUUAGAGCCGCCACACAUCCGGUUAAUUUCUGGAUUUGUUUGAGGUCCGUUGGGGUAGCCAACUGUGACAGAGCUCGGAUUUUGGCCGGAUUUGCUUCAAUUCCUCUAUUGGAGACAAUGAAACCCAAGAGCUUUCCGGCUGGUACACCAAAAAUGCAUUUUUCCGGAUUGAGCUUGAUGUCGUAUGUUCGGAGGUUAUCGAAUGUGCGCCUCAAGUCAUCUAUUAGAGAGUCGACAUGUUUGGUUUUGACGACCACAUCCUCUACAUAUGCCUCUACUGUUUUGCCGAUCUGUUUCUCCAGACAUGUCUGAAUCAUGUGUUGAUAUGUUGCGCCGGCGUUUUUGAGCCCAAAAGGCAUUGUGUUGAAAUAGAAGGGGCUGUAUGGUGUGAUAAAUGCCGUUGCGGCUUGGUCGGACUCCGCCAUCUUGAUUUGGUGGUAGCCGGAGUAUGCGUCGAGGAAACACAAUGAAUCGUGUCCUACGGUAGCAUCGAUAAUUUGAUCGAUGCAGGGGAGGGGGAAGGGAUCCUUUGGGCAAGCCUUGUUGAGGUCCUUGAAAUCGACACAUAGGCGCCAGGAUUUGUCCUUCUUUGGUACCAUCACCAGGUUUGCUAGCCAGUCCGGGUGUUUUAUUUCUCUAAUGAAUCCGGCCUCCAAUAACUUGGCUAGUUCCUCUCCCAUAGGUUGUCUCUUAAGUUCAGAGAAACGCCGAAGAGUCUGCUUAACCGGCUUGAAUCCCUUUAGAAUAUUAAGGUUGUGCUCGGCCAGCCUGCGUGGGAUUCCUGGCAUGUCUGAGGGGUGCCAGGCGAAUAUGUCCCAAUUCUCGCGCAGGAACUCUCGUAGUGCGGCGUCCAUGGCAGGGUUUAACUGUGCCCCGAUGGAUGCUGUUUUUGUAGGGUCUGUUGGGUGGACUUGGAAUUUGACUAUUUCAUCCGCUGGUUUAAAAGAGGUGGACUUGGAUCUCUUGUCAAGUAUCACGUCGUCCCUGUCCACUGUGGAGCGUAGCGCAGCUAAUUCUUCAGCCGAAAGGGCUUCGAAUAAUGCCUCGAGGCCCAAUGCGUCUAUUUUGUUUUCGGCGCGGAGUGAUGUGUCCGGAUCACUAGCGAGAGUGAUGAUUCCGUUGGGCCUGGGCAUUUUGAGCUUCAUGUACCCGUAAUGGGGUAUGGCUUGGAAGAUCGUGAACGCCUCCCGCCCUAAAAGGGCGUGGUAUCCGCUACUGAACGGGGCCACUUGGAAUGUAAUCUCUUCGGCCCUAUAGUUCUCCGGCGUGCCGAAUACCACAUCUAGUGUGAUUUUCCCAGCACAGCGUGCCUCCCGACUGGGGAUGAUUCUUCUGAAGUUUGUGCUGCUACGCUCAAUUCGGUUCCAGUAUAUUUCCAUUUUUUGAAGAGUUUCCUCAUAGAUGAGGUUUAAUCCACUGCCUCCGUCCAUGAGUACUUUGGUGAGUCGAAAGCCGUCCACAAUUGGACUGAGGACCAGUGCGUCUGGUGCUCGGGCUGUUCGGAAUUUAGGUUCAUCACUGGCAUUGAAGGUAAUAGCCGUGUCACUCCAUGGAUUUAUUGCUGCCACGUGGCAGAUUUCGGCAAUGCUACGGAGUGUUCGCUUGCGCCUAUUAUUUGAAGGAAGGUCUCAAAGACUGUUAAUAUCAUAUUGUUAUCCCCGGGAUGGUGCUCUGUGGCAUCUGGGAUGAGAAGAUCCUCGCCACUUUUGGCCACCUGCCGGAGUACCCAACAUGCUCUAAGGCUGUGUUUUGGUAUGGUAUCCGCUGUACUAUGGAUUUUGCAGGGUCCAUGGAGCCAUCCCUCCAAUACAGUUCCAUGCCCUGUAGAUGGUUUUUGCUUCUUUGUAAUUAACUCAGGUGUCUUAUGAUAGUGCACCCUUUUACUUCGGACUGGGUGUAUAUUCGGAGCCGGAUUAACCCAAAAUUUGGUUUCGGUUUUCCAGGCGCUUUCCAUCGCACAGUACUUUCGUACUGUGGACGCCAAGUUGGCGAAGCGUGAUAUGUCAUGGCGACUUAUGGCGUUAAGGAUUCCCUUGUCCGUGCAAUUAUUGCAUAAAAAUGAGACUACAUCUUCCUCGCGACAGUCCUUAACCUUGUUCAUCACAAGGAGGAAUCUGGCCCAGUAAUGAUGUACUGUUUCCUAGGGCUCUUGCCUGAUGUGGGAAAGAUCGUUUAUGUUUGGGUGGGUGGGUGGAUUUGAGUCCGAACCCUUACCCGAUCUGAGACCCAGGGGCCAAGGAGUUUCCAAUCUUGGAAGUUCGGGUUCCAGGGUGUUGCCCGAUAAGUAUGGCCCGUUGCCUGACUCUAGGUUCAGGGCUUGGGUGAUGUCCUCCCAUAAACGGGUAUCCGGCUCAGAGAGCUGAGGAAUCCGGACAUAGUUAGUCCUCAAGAUAGAGGAAGAAUCGCCGCAUUGUUCCUCCACCACCGCAAUAUGAUGGGUGACCGAUGGAGAGUUAAUCUCCCUUUGAUCGGGUUUAAGCCCAAUCCGAUCAUAUUCCGUAGCGAGACGGUGCCCGAGCUGGUCACGACGUAGGGGGGCGCACCUGCCCCCCCUGGGCGCAUCCCCUACCCUCGUGAGCCACCCGUAAGGCGGGUGACGCUCUUCUUUUGCCGCAAGAAAGCUAAUUUUUAGAAAAAAAUCACGGCGAGGGUUUCAGGCCAAUCGGAGUUACGGAUCUCCAUAUAUACAUGAAACGGUGAAACAGAGCCAGGAGAGAAUGCAGAAACAGAGAGAGACGGAGAGUCAGAUCCAAUCUCGGAGGGGCUCUCGCCCCUCCCACGCCAUGGAGGCCAAGGACCAGAAGGGAAACCCUUCUACCAUCUAGGGAGGAGGUCAAGGAAGAAGAAGAAGAAGGGGGGCCCUCUCCCCCUUGCUUCCGGUGGCGCCGGAGUGCCACCGGGGGCCAUCAUCAUCACCGUCAUCUUCACCAACAACUUCACCGCCUUCACCACCAACUCUUCAUCCCUCUAUGCAGCAGUGUAACCUCUCUCUUACCCGCUGUAAUCUAUACUUAAACAUGGUGCUCAACGCUAUAUAUUAUUUCCUUAUGAUGUAUGGCUAUCCUAUGAUGUUUGAGUAGAUUCGUUUUGUCCUAACGGCUAUUUGAUGAUCAAGAUUGGUUUGAGUUGCAUGUUUUUAUUAUUGGUGAUUUCCUAUGGUGCUCUCCGUAUCGCGCAAGCGUGAGGGAUCCCCGCUGUAGGGUGUUGCAAUACGUUCAUGAUUCGCUUAUAGUGGGUUGCGUGAGUGACUGAAACACAAACCCGAGUAAGGGGGUUGUUGCGUAUGGGAUAAAGGGGACUUGAUGCUUUAAUGCUAUGGUUGGGUUUUACCUUAAUGAAUCUUUAGUAGUUGCAGAUGCUUGCUAGAGUUCCAAUCAUAAGUGCAUAUGGUCCAAGUAGAGAAAGUAUGUUAGCUUAUGCCUCUCCCUCAAAUAAAAUUGUAAUAAUGAUUACUGGUCUAGUUAUCGAUUGCCUAGGGAUAAAUAACUUUCUUGUAACAACAAACUCUCUACUAAACCUAACUUAGUUGUGUCUUUAUCUAAACAGCCCCUACUUUUUAUUUACUUGCUCUUUCUUAUCUUGCAUACCUAUCCAACGACACCUACAAAGUACUUCUAGUUUCAUACUUGUUCUAGGUAAAGCGAACAUCAAGCGUGCGUAGAGUUGUAUUGGUGGUCAAUAGAACUUGAGGGAUUAUUUGUUCUGCCUUUAGCUCCUCGUUGGGUUCAACACUCUUACUUUUCAAAAACUGUUGCGAUCCCCUAUACUUGUGGGUUAUCAAGACACAGGAGCGUAGGACAAAAGAUGUCAUGCAAGUUCUUUUCCAUAAGCACGUAUGACUAUAUUCGAAAUACAUGCCUACAUUACAUUGAUGAAUUGGAGCUAGUUCUAUGUCACCCUAGGCUAUGACUGUUACAUGAUGGACCGCAUCCGGCAUAAUUCUCUAUCACUGAUCCAUUGCCUAUGAGCUUUCCAUAUAUUGUUCUUCGCUUAUUUACUUUUCGGUUGCUAUUGCUAUCAUCACUACAAAAUACCAAAAACAUUACCUUUGCUAUCAUUACCUAUUGCUACCGUUACCACUACUAUCAUAUUACUUUGCUACUAAAUACUUUGCUAUAGAUAUUAAGUUUCCAGGUGUGGUUGAAUUGACAACUCAGCUGCUAAUACUUGAGAAUAUUCUUUGGCUCCCCUUGUGUCGAAUCAAUAAAUUUGGGUUGAAUACUCUACCCUCGAAAACUGUUGCGAUCCCCUAUACUUGUGGGCUAUCAAGACUAUUUUCUGGCGCCGUUGCCGGGGAGCGUAGCUCUAUUCUUUGAGUCACUUGGGAUUUAUAUCUCCUUAUCAUUAUGAAGAACUUGAGAGAUCCAAAAACCAAGAUUUAUCCCUCAACUAGGAGGGGAGGUAAGGAACUGCCAUCUAGCUCUGCACAUGAUUCACCUUCUGUUUUGAGUAAACUUGCGACACCUAAACCUGCUUCUGCUAUUCGUUCUGAUAUGUCGUAUGUUAUUGAUGAUGCCACUUCUGCUAUGCAUGAUACUUAUGAUGAAACUACUUCUAUGCUUGAUACUACUAUGCCACUUGGUGAAUUUCUUGAUGAACAACUUGCUAGGGUCAGAGAGAAUGAAAAUAUUGAAACUCGUAAUAUUGAUGAAAGUGAUGAUGAAGACUCUCCCCCCCCCUAAUGAAAAUGAAUCACCUGUUAUUCCCGAGGGUUACGUUUUCGAAAAAAAAGCUGCUUUAGCUAUUUUAGCCUGCAAAGAUAGAUACGAGCUCAAGAGGUUAUUAGCUAAAUGGAAGCAGCAAUCUCUUAAUGCUAGAAUGAAACCCGACCCUGCUUUUGCUACUUCACCUAUCUUUGUUACUAAUAAGUAUUAUGAAUUCUCUGUUGAUCCUGAUAUAAUUACUUUGGUUGAAUCUAAUCCUUUUCAUGGUUAUGAAUCUGAAACUGUUGUGGCACAUCUUACUAAAUUAAAUGAUAUAGCCACCUUGUUCACUAAUGAUGAGAGUGAAGGAAAUAUUCCCUAGAGGCAAUAAUAAAGUUAUUAUUUAUUUCCUUAUAUCAUGAUAAAUGUUUAUUAUUCAUGCUAGAAUUGUAUUAUCCGGAAACAUAAUACUUGUGUGAAUACAUAGACAAACUAAACGUCACUAGUAUGCCUCUACUUGACUAGCUCGUUAAUCAAAGAUGGUUAUGUUUCCUAACCAUACACAUGUGCUGUCAUUUGAUUGACGGGAUCACAUUAUUAGGAGAAUGAUGUGAUUGACAUGACCCAUUCCAUUAGCUUAGCACUCGAUCGUUUAGUAUGUUGCUAUUGCUUUCUUCAUGACUUAUACAUGUUCCUAUGACUAUGAUAUUAUGCAACUCCCGUUUGCCGGAGGAACACUUUGUGUUCUACCAAACGUCACAACGUAACUGGGUGAUUAUAAAGGAGCUCUAUAGGUGUCUCCAAAGGUAAAUGUUGGGUUGGCGUAUUUCGAGAUUAGGAUUUGUCACUCCGAUUGUCGGAGAGGUAUCUCUGGGGCCUCUCGGUAAUGCACAUCACAUAAGCCUUGCAAGCAUUGCAACUAAUGAGUUAGUUGCGAGAUGAUGUAUUACAGAACGAGUAAAGAGACUUUCCGGUAACGAGAUUGAACUAGGUAUUGAGAUACCGACGAUCGAAUCUCAGGCAAGUAACAUACCGAUGACAAAGGGAACAACGUAUGUUGUUAUGCGCUCUGACCGAUAAAGAUCUUCGUAGAAUAUGUGGGAGCCAAUAUGAGCAUCCAGGUUCCGCUAUUGGUUAUUGACCAGAGACAUGUCUCGGUCAUGUCUUGUUCUCGAACCUGUAGGGUCCGCAUGCUUAAGGUUUUGAUGAUAGUUAUAUUAUGAGUUUAUGAGUUUUGAUGUACCGAAGUUAUUUCGGAGUCCCGGAUGUGAUCACGGACAUGACGAGGAGUCUCGAAAUGAUCGAGACAUAAAGAUUGAUAUAUUGGACGGCUAUAUUCGGACACCGGAAGUGUUCCGGGUGAUUUCGGAGAAAACCAGAGAGCCGGAGGGUUACCGGAACCCCCCAGGAGAAGUAAUGGGCCAUAUGGGCCUUAGUGGAGAGAGAGAGAGAGGGGCAGCCAAGGUGGGACGCGCGCCUCCUCCACCUGGUCCGAAUUGGACUAGGAGAGGGGGGCGGCGCCCCCCUUUCCUUCUCACUCCCCACUUCCUUCCCCCUCCUAGUAGGAGUCCUACUCCUACUAGGAGGAGGACUCCUCCUUCGCGCGCCUAUAGGGGCUGGCCGGCCUCCUCCCCUUGCUCCUUUAUAUACGGGGGCAGGGGGCACCCCUAGACACACAAGUUGAUCCACAUGAUGGUUUUCUUAGCCGUGUGCGGUGCCCCCUUCCACCAUAAUCCUCGAUAAUAUUGUAGUGGUGCUUAGGUGAAGCCCUGCGACAGUUGAACAUCAAGAUCGUCACCACGCCGUCGUGCAGACGGAAGUCUUCCCCGACACUAUGCUGGAUCGGAGUCCGGGGAUCAUCAUCGAGCUGAACGUGUGCUAGAACUCGGAGGUGCCGUACGUUCGGUGCUUGGAUCGGUCGGAUCGGGAAGACGUACCACUACUUCCUCUACAUUGUGUGAACACUUCCGUUGCCGGUCUACGAGGGUACGUAGACAACACUCUCCCCUCUCGUUGCUAUGCAUCACCAUGAUCUUGUGUGUGCGUAGGAAAUUUUUGAAAUUACUACAUUCCCCAACAGUGGCAUCCGAGCCUAGGUUUUAUGUGUUGAUGUUAUAUGCACGAGUAGAACACAAGUGAGUUGUGGGCGAUAUAAGUCAUACUGCUUACCAGCAUGUCAUACUUUGGUUCGGUGGUAUUGUUGGACGAAGCGGCCCGGACCAACAUUACGCGUACGCUUACACGAGACCGGUUCUCCCAACGUGCUUUGCACAAAGGUGCCUAGCGGGUGUCAGUUUCUCCAACUUUAGUUGAACCAAGUGUGGCUACGCCCGAUCCUUACGAAGGUUAAAACAGCACCAACUUGACAAACUAUCAUUGUGGUUUUGAUCCGUAGGUAAGAUUGGUUCUUGCUUAAGCCCGUAGCAGCCACGUAAAACUUGCAACAACAAAGUAGAGGACGUAUAACUUGUUUUUGCAGGGCAUGUUGUGAUGUGAUAUGGUCAAGACAUGAUGCUAAAUUUUAUUGUAUGAGAUGAUCAUGUUUUGUAACCAAGUUAUCGGCAACUGGCAGGAGCCAUAUGGUUGUCGCUUUAUUGUAUGCAAUGCAAUUGCGCUGUAAUGCUUUACUUUAUCACUAAGCGGUAGCGAUAGUCGUGGAAGCAUAAGUUUGGCGAGACGACAAUGAUGCUACGAUGGUGAUCAAGGUGUCGCGUUAGUGACGAUGGUGAUCAUGACGGUGCUUCGAAGAUGGAGAUCACAAGCACAAGAUGAUGAUGGUCAUAUCAUAUCACUUAUAUUGAUUGCAUGUGAUGUUUAUCUUUUAUGCAUCUUAUCUUGCUUUGUUUAACGGUAGCAUUUUAAGAUGAUCUCUCACUAAUUAUCAAGAAGUGUUCUCCCUGAGUAUGCACCGUUGCGAAAGUUCUUCGUGCUGAGACACCACGUGAUGAUCGGGUGUGAUAGGCUCUACGUUCAAAUACAACGGGUGCAAAAUAGUUGCACACACGAAAUACUCAGGUUAUACUUGACGAGCCAAGCAUAUACAUAUAUGGUCUCGGAACACGGAGACCGAAAGGUCGAGCGUGAAUCAUAUAGUAGAUAUGAUCAACAUAGUGAUGUUCACCAAUGAAACUACUCCAUCUCACGUGAUGAUCGGAAAUGGUUUAGUUGAUUUGGAUCACGUAAUCACUUAGAAGAUUAGAGGGAUGUCUAUCUAAGUGGGAGUUCUUUAGUAAUAUGGUUAAUUGAACCUAAAUUUAUCAUGAACUUAGUACCUGAUAGUAUCUUGCUUGUUUAUGUUUGAUGUAGAUAGAUGGCCUGUGCUGUUGUUCCGUUGAAUUUUAAUGUGUUCCUUGAGAAAGCAAAGUUGAAAGAUGAUGGUAGCAAUUACACGGACUGGGUCCGUAACUUCAGGAUUAUCCUCAUUGCUGCACAGAAGAAUUACGUCCUGGAAGCAUCGCUGGGUCCCAGGCCUGCUGCUGGAGCAACACCAGAUGUUGUGAACGUCUGGCAGAGCAAAGCUGAUGACUACUCGAUAGUUCAGUGUGCCAUGCUUUACGGCUUAGAAUCGGGACUUCAACGAUGUUUUGAACGUCAUGGAGCAUAUGAGAUGUUCCAGGAGUUGAAGUUAAUAUUUCAAGCAAAUGCCCAGAUUGAGAGAUAUGAAGUCUCCAAUAAAUUCUAUAGCUGCAAGAUGGAGGAGAACAGUUCUGUCAGUGAGCAUAUACUCAAAAUGUCUGGGUAUAAUAAUCACUUGAUUCAAUUGGGAGUUAAUCUUCCAUAUGAUUAUGUCAUUGACAGAAUUCUCCAAUCACUGCCACCUAGCUACAAGAGCUUCGUGAUGAACUAUAAUAUGCAAGGGAUGAAUAAGACUAUUCCCGAGCUCUUCGCAAUGCUGAAAGCUGCGGAGGUAGAAAUCAAGAAGGAGCAUCAAGUGUUGAUGGUCAACAAGACCACUAGUUUCAAGAAAAAGGGCAAAGGGAAGAAGAAGGGGAACUUCAAAAAGAACAGCAAGCAAGUUGCUACUCAAGAGAAGAAACCCAAACCUGGACCUAAGCCUGAAACUGAGUGCUUCUAUUGCAAGUAUACUAGUCACUGGAAGCGGAACUGCCCCAAGUAUUUGGCGGAUAAGAAGGAUGGCAAGGUGAACAAAGGUAUAUGUGAUAUACAUGUUAUUGAUGUGUACCUUACUAAUGCUCGCAGUAGCACCUGGGUAUUUGAUACUGGUUCUGUUGCUAAUAUUUGCAACUCAAAACAGGGACUACGGAUUAAGCGAAGAUUGGCUAAGGACGAGGUGACGAUGCGCGUGGGAAAUGGUUCCAAAGUCGAUGUGAUCGCGGUCGGCACGCUACCUCUACACCUACCUUCGGGAUUAGUAUUAGACCUAAAUAAUUGUUAUUUGGUGCCAGCGUUGAGCAUGAACAUUAUAUCUGGAUCUUGUUUGAUGCGAGACGGUUAUUCAUUUAAAUCAGAGAAUAAUGGUUGUUCUUUUUAUAUGAGUAAUAUCUUUUAUGGUCAUGCACCCUUAAAGAGUGGUCUAUUCUUAUUAAAUCUCGAUAGUAGUGACACACAUAUUCAUAAUGUUGAAGCCAAAAGAUGCAGAGUUGAUAAUGAUAGUGCAACUUAUUUGUGGCACUGCCGUUUGGGUCAUAUCGGUAUAAAGCGCAUGAAGAAACUCCAUACUGAUGGGCUUUUGGAACCACUUGAUUAUGAAUCACUUGGUACUUGCGAACCGUGACUUAUGGGUAAGAUGACAAAAACACCGUGCUCCGGUACUAUGGAGAGAGCAACAGAUUUGUUGGAAAUCAUACAUACAGAUGUAUGUGGUCCGAUGAAUAUUGAGGCUCGUGGCGGAUAUCGUUAUUUUCUCACAUUCACAGAUGACUUAAGCAGAUAUGGGUAUAUCUACUUAAUGAAACAUAAGUCUGAAACAUUUGAAAAGUUCAAAGAAUUUCAGAGUGAAGUUGAAAAUCAUCGUAACAAGAAAAUAAAAUUCCUAUGAUUUGAUCGUGGAGGAGAAUAUUUGAGUUACGAGUUUGGUGUACAUUUGAAACAAUGCGGAAUAGUUUCGCAACUCACGCCACCCGGAACACCACAGCGUAAUGGUGUGUCCGAACGUCGUAAUCGUACUUUACUUGAUAUGGUGCAAUCUAUUAUGUCUCUUACUGAUUUACCGCUAUCGUUUUGGGGUUAUGCUCUAGAGACGGCCGCAUUCACGUUAAAUGGGGCACCAUCAAAAUCUGUUGAGACGACGCCUUAUGAACUAUGGUUUGGCAAGAAACCAAAGUUGUCGUUUAUGAAAGUUUGGGGUUGCGAUGCUUAUGUGAAAAAGCUUCAACCUGAUAAGCUCGAACCCAAAUCGGAGAAAUGUGUCUUCAUAGGAUAUCCAAAGGAAACUAUUGGAUACACCUUCUAUCACAGAUCCGAAGGCAAGACUUUUGUUGCUAAAUUCGGAAACUUUCUAGAGAAGGAGUUUCUCUCGAAAGAAGUGAGUGAGAGGAAAGUAGAGCUUGAUGAGGUAACUAUACCUGGUCCCUUAUUGGAAAGUAGUACAUCACAGAAACCAGUUUCUGUGACACCUACACCAAUUAGUGAGGAAGCUAAUGAUGAUGAUCAUGAAACUUUAGAACAAGAUACUACUGAACCUCGUAGAUCAACCAGAGUAAGAUCCGCACCAGAGUGGUACGGUAAUGCCGUUCUGGAAGUCAUGCUACUAGAUCAUGAUGAACCUACGAACUAUGGAGAAGCGAUGGUGAGCCCAGAUUCCGCAAAAUGGCUUGAAGCCAUGAAAUCUGAGAUGGGAUCCAUGUAUGAGAACAAAGUAUGGACUUUGGUUGACUUGCCUAAUGAUCGGCAAGCAAUUGAGAAUAAAUGGAUCUUCAAGAAGAAGACUGACGCUGGCGGUAAUGUUACUGUCUACAAAGCUCGACUUGUCGCAAAAGGUUUUCGACAAGUUCAAGGGAUUGACUACGAUGAGACCUUCUCUCCCGUAGUGAUGCUUAAGUCUGUCCGAAUCAUGUUAGCAAUUGCCGCAUUUUAUGAUUAUGAAAUUUGGCAGAUGGAUGUCAAAACUGCAUUCCUGAAUGGAUUUCUGGAAGAAGAGUUGUAUAUGAUGCAGCCGGAAGGUUUUGUCGAUCCAAAGGGAGCUAACAAAGUGUGCAAGCUCCAGCGAUCCAUUUAUGGACUGGUGCGAGCCUCUCGGAGUUGGAAUAAACGUUUUGAUAGUGUGAUCAAAGCAUUUGGUUUUUUACAGACUUUUGGAGAAGCCUGUAUUUACAAGAAAGUGAGUGGGAGCUCUGUAGCAUUUCUGAUAUUAUAUGUAGAUGACACAUUACUAAUCGGAAAUGAUAUAGAAUUUCUGGAUAGCAUAAAAGGAUACUUGAAUAAGAGUUUUUCAAUGAAAGACCUCGGUGAAGCUGCUUACAUAUUGGGCAUUAAGAUCUAUAGAGACAGAUCAAGACGCUUAAUUGGACAUUCACAAAGCACAUACCUUGACAAAGUUUUGAAAAAAUUCAAAAUGGAUCAAGCAAAGAAAGGAUUCUUGCCUGUGUUACAAGGUGUGAAAUUGAGUAAGACUCAAUGCCCGACCAAUGCAGAAGAUAGAGAGAAAAUGAAAGAUGUUCCCUAUGCUUCAGCCAUAGGCUCUAUCAUGUAUGCAAUGCUGUGUACCAGACCUGAUGUGUGUCUUUCUAUAAGUCUAGCAGGGAGGUACCAAAGUAAUCCAGGAAUGGAUCACUGGACAGCGGUCAAGAACAUCCUGAAAUACCUAAAAAGGACUAAGGAUAUGUUUCUCAUAUAUGGAGGUGACAAAGAGCUCAUCGUAAAUGGUUACGUUGAUGCAAGCUUUGACACUGAUCCGGACGAUUCUAAAUCGCAAACCGGAUACAUGUUUACAAUAAACGGUGGAGCUGUCAGUUGGUGCAGUUCUAAACAAAGCGUUGUGGCGGGAUCUGCAUGUGAAGCGGAGUACAUAGCUGCUUCGGAAGCAGCAAACGAAGGAGUCUGGAUGAAGGAGUUCAUAUCCGAUCUAGGUGUCAGACCUAGUGCAUCGGGUCCAAUGAAAAUCUUUUGUGACAAUACUGGUGCAAUUGCCUUGGCAAAGGAAUCCAGAUUUCACAAGAGAACCAAGCACAUCAAGAGACGCUUCAAUUCCAUCCGGGAUCUAGUCUAGGUGAGAGACAUAGAGAUUUGCAAGAUACAUACGGAUUUGAAUGUUGCAGACCCAUUGACUAAGCCUCUUCCACGAGCAAAACAUGAUCAGCACCAAAGCUCCAUGGGUGUUAGAAUCAUUACUGUGUAAUCUAGAUUAUUGACUCUAGUGCAAGUGGGAGACUGAAGGAAAUAUGCCCUAGAGGCAAUAAUAAAGUUAUUAUUUAUUUCCUUAUAUCAUGAUAAAUGUUUAUUAUUCAUGCUAGAAUUGUAUUAUCCGGAAACAUAAUACUUGUGUGAAUACAUAGACAAACUAAACGUCACUAGUAUGCCUCUACUUGACUAGCUCGUUAAUCAAAGAUGGUUAUGUUUCCUAAACAUAGACAUGUGUUGUCAUUUGAUUGACGGGAUCACAUUAUUAGGAGAAUGAUGUGAUUGACAUGACCCAUUCCAUUAGCUUAGCACCCGAUCGUUUAGUAUGUUGCUAUUGCUUUCUUCAUGACUUAUACAUGUUCCUAUGACUAUGAGAUUAUGCAGCUCCCGUUUGCCAGAGGAACACUGUGUGCUACCAAACGUCACAACGUAACUGGGUGAUUAUAAAGGAGCUCUACAGGUGUCUCCAAAGGUAAAUGUUGGGUUGGCGUAUUUUGAGAUUAGGAUUUGUCACUCCGAUUUUCGGAGAGGUAUCUCUGGGCCCUCUCGGUAAUGCACAUCACAUAAGCCUUGCAAGCAUUGCAACUAAUGAGUUAGUUGCAAGAUGAUGUAUUACAGAACGAGUAAAGAGACUUUCCGGUAAAGAGAUUGAACUAGGUAUUGAGAUACCGGCGAUCGAAUCUCGGGCAAGUAACAUACCGAUGACAAAGGGAACAACGUAUGUUGUUAUGCAGUCUGACCGAUAAAGAUCUUCGUAGAAUAUGUGGGAGCCAAUAUGAGCAUCCAGGUUCCGCUAUUGGUUAUUGACUGGAGACAUGUCUCGAUCAUGUCUACAUUGUUCUCGAACCCAUAGGGUUCGCACGCUUAAGGUUUCGAUGACAGUUAUAUUAUGAGUUUAUGAGUUUUGAUGUACCUAAGUUAGUUCGGAGUCCCGGAUGUGAUCACGGACAUGACGAGGAGUCUCGAAAUGAUCGAGACAUAAAGAUUGAUAUAUUGGACGGCUACAUUCGGACACCGGAAGUGUUCCGGGUGAUUUCGGAGAAAACCGGAGAGCCGGAGGGUUACCGGAACCCUCCCGGGAGAAGUAAUGGGCCAUAUGGGCCUUAGUGGAGAGAGAGAGAGGGGCAUCCAAGGUGGGCCGCGCGCCUCCUCCCCCCCUGGUCCGAAUUGGACUUGGAGAGGGGGGCGGCUCCCCCCUUUCCUUCUCCCUCCCUACUUCCUUCCCCCUCCUAGUAGGAGUCCUACUCCUACUAGGAGGAGGACUCCUCCUUCGCGCGCCUAUAGGGGCCGGCCGGCCUCCUCCCCUUGCUCCUUUAUAUACGGGGGCAGGGGGCACCCCUAGACACACAAGUUGAUCCACAUGAUCGUUUUCUUAGCCGUGUGCGGUGCCCCCUUCCACCAUAAUCCUCGAUAAUAUUGUAGUGGUGCUUAGGCGAAGCCCUGCGACAGUUGAACAUCAAGAUCGUCACCACGCCCUCAUGCUGACGGAACUCUUCCCUGACACUUUGCUGGAUCGGAGUCUGGGGAUCGUCAUCGAGCUGAACGUGUGCUAGAACUCGGAGGUGCCGUACGUUCGGUGCUUGGAUCGGUCAGAUCGGGAAGACGUACGACUACUUCCUCUACGUUGUGUCAACACUUCCGUUGCCGGUCUACGAGGGUACGUAGACAACACUCUCCCCUCUCGUUGCUAUGCAUCACCAUGAUCUUGCAUGUGCGUAGGAAAAUUUUGAAAUUACUACGUUCCCCAACAGAGAGAACUCAUUACUUUUAUAUCCUCAAAAUAUGUCUGUUCUCAUUAAAGGGUGAUGCUAAUAUAUGGUUUAAUUCUCUUGAUCCUGGUUGUGUGCGUAGUCCCCAGGAUAUGAUUUAUUACUUCUCCGCUAAAUAUUUCCCUGCUCAUAAGAAACAAGCUGCUUCAAGGGAUAUAUAUAAUUUUGUGCAAAUUGAAGAAGAGAGUCUCCCACAAGCUUGGGGGAGGCUUCUCCAAUUACUUAACGCUUUGCCUGAUCAUCCUCUUAAGAAAAAUGAAAUACUUGAUAUCUUUUAUAAUGGACUAACCGAUGCUUCCAGAGAUUACCUGGAUAGUUGUGCUGGUUCUGUUUUCAGGGAAAGAACACCAGAUGAAGCUGAAAUUCUGUUGAAUAAUAUGUUGACAAAUGAAAAUAAUUGGGCACUUCCUGAGCCAAUUCCUGAGUUUAUUCCUGAACCAACUCCGAAGAAGAGAGGUGUUCUAUUUCUCAGUCCUGAAGAUAUGCAAGAGGCAAAGAAAUCUAUGAAAGAAAAAGGUAUUAAAGCUGAAGAUGUUAAGAAUUUACCUCCUAUUGAGGAAAUACACGGUCUUAAUUUACCGCAUGUUGAAGAAAUAUAUGAUCUUAAUCCCUUACGUAUUGAAGAAAUACAUGGUCUUGAUAACCCAACACAUGUAGUAAAGGUAAAUUCUCCCUAUAGAUAUGAUAAAGCAGAAAUCCCAUUUACUAAGUUUGCUAGCCUAUGCUUAGAUGAGUUUGAUAAAUUUAUGGCUAUGCAAGAAGACUUCAAUGCUUAUUUUGGUAGAGAAUUAAAACGCAGUGCUUGUAUGCUUGAACACUUGGGUGAUUAUAUGGCUAAUGUUAAAGGUGAACUUAAACUUAUUAGUAAACAUGCUUCUAUGGUUACCACUCAAGUAGAACAAGUACUUAAAGCUCAAAAUGAUUUGCUCAAUGAACUGAAUAGUAAGAAUAAUGAUUAUGCUGUUAGAGUGGCUACUAGAACUGGUAGAAUGACUCAGGAACCUUUGUAUCCUGAAGGCCACCCUAAGAGAAUUGAGCAAGAUUCUCAGAGAAAUAAUAUAGAUGCACCUAGUCCUUCUAAAAGGAAGAAAAAGAAAAAUUAUAGGACUUUGCAUGCUUCUAGUGAACCUAUUACUGAAACACCUGAGAAUCCAAAUGAUAUUUCUAUUUCUGAUGCUGAAACACAAUCUGGUAAUGAACCUGAAACUAGCGAAAAUGUUAAUGAUAAUGUUCAUGAUGAUGCUCCACCUAGUAAUGAUAAUGAUAUAGAAAUUGAACCUGUUGUUGAUCUUGAUAACCCACAAUCAAAGAAUCAACGUUAUGAUAAGAAAGACUUUGUUGCUAGGAAACAUGGUAAGGAAAGAGAACCAUGGGUUCAGAAACCCAUGCCUUUUCCUCCCAAACCAUCCAAGAAAAAUGAUGAUGAGGAUUUUGAGCGCUUUGCUGAAAUGAUUAGACCUAUCUUUUUGCGUAUGCGAUUAACUGAUAUGCUUAAAAUGAAUCCUUAUGCUAAAUACAUGAAAGAAAUUGUCACUAAUAAAAGAAAGAUACCGGAAGCUGAAAUUUCCACCAUGCUUGCUAAUUAUAAUUUUAAGGGUGGAAUACCAAAGAAACUUGGAGAUCCAGGAGUACCCACUAUACCAUGCUCCAUUAAAAGAAACUAUGUGAUCUUGGAGCCGGUGUUAGUGUUAUGCCUCUCUCUUUAUAUCGUAGACUUGAUUUGAAUAAGUUGACACCUACUGAAAUAUCUUUGCAAAUGGCUGAUAAAUCAACUGCUAUACCUGCCGGUAUUUGUGAGGAUGUGCCUGUUGUAGUUGCAAACGUUACUAUUUUAACGGACUUUGUUAUUCUUGAUAUUCCUGAGGACGAUGGUAUGUCUAUUAUUCUUGGAAGACCCUUUUUGAAUACUGCAGGGGCUGUUAUUGAUUGCACUGAAGGCAAUGUCACUUUUCAUGUUAAUUAUAAUGAGCAUAUGGUACACUUUCCAAGGAAACAGCCUCAAGUUCAUACUAUCAACUCCAUUGGAAAAAUUUCAUCGAUUAUAUUUGGAGGUUUUGAAUUUCCUCUACCUACUGUCAAGAAGAAAUAUGAUAUUCUUAUUAUUGGGGAUGUGCAUAUCCCCGUUGAGGUAACAUAAUGUUAUUCGAAAAUUCUCCGGUCCCAUGUUAUUCGGAAUGAGUUUGUUAACAAGACUUGAUCAACCUUCUUAGUGGAUUCCUUUUGAUGAUCAUGAGAUGGAUGAAUUUGGGAGACACAACUCUCUGUACCCUCCUUUUAGUUUAUGUUAUUUAUAUUAAAUAAAAUAAAAAUAGUAGUUUCUGUCUGUUAUCUGAAUUAUUCAUGCAAUAUAAAAAUACCCUAAAAAUAAAAGUUCUCCAAAUGCCCUGAAAUUUAAAUAUGAUUUUUCUGGAAUAUUUGAGAAUAUUUGGCACUGAGAACACAUCAGGGGGAGCUGGCACCUGGCCACGAGGGUCAGGGGCGCGCCAUACCCCCUGGGCGCGCCCCCCUGCCUCGUGGGCCCACGGUGGACCUCCUCCACUUAUUCCUGCACCCACACACUCCUUCUUCCUCCCACAAACACGAAUAUCCAGCUCAAGCACGAGUUCUAGCUCAUUUUGCUGCCAUUUUCGAUCUCCUUGCUCAAAGCACCUCUCACAAAACUGCUUGGGGAGAUUGUUCCUUGGUAUGUGACUCCUCCAUUAGUUCAAUUAGUUUCUGUUCUAGUGCUUUAUUCAUUGCAAAUUUGUGCUGCCUGAUACGUCUCCAACGUAUCUAUAAUUUUUUAUUGCUCCAUGCUAUAUUAUCUACUGUCUUGGACAUUAUUGGGCUUUAUUAUCCACUUUUAUAUUAUUUUUGGGACUAACCUAUUAACUGGAGGCCCAGGCCAGAAUUGUUGUUUUUUGCCGAUUUUAGGGUUUCGAAGAAAAGGAAUAUCAAACGGAGUCCAAACGGAAUGAAACCUUCAGGGACGUGAUUUUCUCACCGAACAAGACCCAGGAGACUUGGACCCUACGUCAAGCAACCAACAGGGAGACCACGAGGUAGGGGGCGCGCCUACCCCCCCCCCCAGGCGCGCCCUCCACCCUCGUGGGACCCCUGUUGCUCCACCGACGUACUUCUUCCUCCUAUAUAUACCUACGUACCCCCAAACGAUCAGAUACAGAGCCAAAACCCUAAUUCCACCGCCGCAACUUUCUGUAUCCACGAGAUCCCAUCUUGGGGCCUGUUCCGGAGCUCCGCCGGAGGGGGUAUCCAUCACGGAGGGCUUCUACAUCAUCACCAUAGCCCCUCCAAUGAAGUGUGAGUAGUUCACCUCAGACCUACGGGUCCAUAGUUAUUAGCUAGAUGGCUUCUUCUCUCUUUUUGGAUCUCAAUACAAAGUUCUCCCCCUCUCUUGUGGAGAUCUAUUCGAUGUAAUCUUCUUUUUGCGGUGUGUUUCUUGAGACCGAUGAAUUGUGGGUUUAUGAUCAAGAUUAUCUAUGAACAAUAUUUGAAUAUCCUCUGACUUCUUUUAUGUAUGAUUGGUUAUCUUUGCAAGUCUCUUCGAAUUAUCAGUUUGGUUUGGCCUACUAGAUUGAUCUUUCUUGCAAUGAGAGAAGUGCUUAGCUUUGGGUUCAAUAUUGCGGUGUCCUUUCCCAGUGAUAGUAGGGACAACAAGGCACGUAUUGUAUUGUUGCCAUCGAGGAUAACAAGAUGUUUUUUUAUCAUAUUGCAUGAAUUUAUCCCUCUACAUCAUGUCAUCUUGCUUAAGGCGUUACUCUGUUUUCAUGAACUUAAUACUCUAGAUGCAUGCUGGAUAGCGGUCGAUGAGUGGAGUAAUAGUAGUAGAUGUAGGCAGGAGUCGAUCUACUUGUCUCGGAUGUGAUGCCUAUAUACAUGAUCAUACCUAGAUAUUCUCAUAACUAUGCUCAAUUAUGUCAAUUGCUCAACAGUAAUUCGUUCAACCACUGUAAAAUACUUAUGCUCUUGACAGAAGCCACUAGUGAAACCUAUGGCCCCCGGGUCUAUCUUCAUCAUAUUAAUCUUCCAAUACUUAGUCAUUUCCUUUGCUUUUUUUACUUUGCUUUUAUUUUACUUUGCAUCUUUAUCAUAAAAAUACCAAAAAUAUUAUCUUAUAAUAUCUAUCAGAUCUCACUCUCGUAAGUGACCAUGAAGGGAUUGAUAACUCCUUAUCGUGUUGGUUGCGAGGACUUAUUUGUUUUGUGCAGGUACGAGGGACUCGCGCGUAGCAUCCUACUGGAUUGAUACCUUGGUUGUCUAAAAACUACUUACGCUACUUUGCUGCAUCUCCUUUCCUCUUCAAGGAAAUCCAAUGCAGUGCUCAAGAGGUAGCAAGAAGAAUUUCUGGCGCCGUUGCCGAGGAGUCUACGCAAAAGUCAACAUACCAAGUACCCAUCACAUACCCUUAUCUCCCGCAUUACAUUAUUUGCCAUUUGCCUCUCGUUUUCCUCUCCCUCACUUCACCCUUGUCGUUUUAUUUGCCCUCUCUCUCUCUCUAUCCUCCCUCUCUUUCUCUAUUUGCCUCUUUUUGCCUGCUUGCUUUUUUUGCUUGUAUGUUAGUUUGCUUGCUUGUCACGAUGGCUCAAGAUAACACUAAAUUGUGUGACUUUACCAAUACCAACAACAAUGAUUUUAUUAGCACUCCGAUUGCUCCUCUUACCAAUGCUGAAUCUUGAGAAAUUAAUGUUGCCUUGCUGAAUUUUGUUAUGAAAGAUCCGUUUUCCAGCCUUCCUAAUGAAGAUGCCGCUACCCAUCUAAAUAGCUUCGUUGAUCUAUGUGAUAUGCAAAAGAAGAAAUAUGUGGAUAAUGAUAUUGUUAAAUUGAAGCUAUUCCCUUUUUCGCUUAGAGAUCGUGCUAAAGCUUGGUUUUCGUCUUUGCCUAAAAAUAGUAUUGAUUCUUGGAACAAGUGCAAAGAUGUUUUUAUCUCUAAGUAUUUUCCUCCCGCUAAGAUCAUCUCCCUUAGAAACGAUAUUAUGAAUUUUAAUCAACUUGAUCAUGAACAUGUUGCACAAGCUUGGGAGAGGAUGAAAUUAACGAUACGUAAUUGCCCUACUCAUGGUUUGAAUUUGUGGAUGAUUAUACAAAAAAUUUAUGCCGGAUUGAAUUUUGCUUCUAGAAACCUUUUAGAUUCGGCCGCGGGAGGCACUUUUAUGGAAAUCACUUUAGGAGAAGCUACUAAACUCCUAGAUAAUAUUAUGGUUAAUUAUUCUCAAUGGCAUACUGAAAGAUCUACUAAUAAAAAGGUGCAUGCGAUAGAAGAAAUUAAUGUUUUGCGUGGAAAGAUGGAUGAACUUAUGAAAUUAUUUGCUAAUAAAAGUGCUUCUUCUGAUCCUAAUGAUAUGCCUUUUUCUACUUUGAUUGAGAAUAAUAAUGAAUCUAUGGAUGUGAAUUUUGUUGGUAGGAACAAUUUUGGUAACAACGCGUAUAGAGGAAAUUUUAAUCCUAGGCCUUAUCCUAGUAAUCCCUCUAAUAAUUAUGGUAAUCCCUACAACAAUUCUUAUGGAAAUUAUAAUAAUAUGCCCUUUGAUUUUGAAUCUAAUAUUAAAGAAUUUAUUACUUCGCAAAAGAAUUUCAAUGCUUUGGUUGAAGAAAAAUUGCUUAAGAUUGAUGAGUUGGCUAGGAACGUUGAUAGAAUUUCUCUUGAUGUUGAUUCUUUAAAACUUAGAUAUAUUCCUCCUAGCAUGAUAUCAAUGAGUCUCUCAAAGCCAUGAGAAUUUCCAUUGAUGAGUGCAAAGAAAGAACUGCUAGGAUGCGUGCUAAGAAAGAUGCCUUUAUAAGAGUGUGUUCUUCUAGUUCCUAUGAAAAUAAAGAUGAAGAUCUAAAAGUUAUUGAUGUGUCCCCUAUUAAAUCUUUGUUUUGCAGUAUGAAUCUUGAUAAUGAUGGGACUGAAUAUGAUCCACCUUUACCUAGAAGGCGUUCCAAAAAUUCGGAGUUUUUAGAUCUUGAUGCUAAAUUUGAUUAAAGUGGGAUUGAAGAAAUUAAAACCCUAGAUGUUGCUAAACUCACUAUUUUGGAUUUCAAGGAAUUUAAUUAUGAAAAUUGCUCUUUAAUUGAUUGUAUUUCCUUGUUACAAUCCGUGCUAAAUUCUCCUCAUGCUUAUAGUCAAAAUAAAGCGUUUACUAAACAUAUCAUUGAUGCCUUGAUGCAAUCUUAUGAAGAAAAACUUGAAUUGGAAGUUUCUAUCACUAGAAAACUUUAUGAUAAGUGGGAACCAACUAUUCAAAUUAAGAUUAAAUAUCAUGAAUGCUUUGCUUUGUGUGAUUUGGGUGCUAGUGUUUCCACGAUUCCAAAGACUUUGUGUGAUUUGUUAGGUUUCCGUGAUUUUGAUGAUUUCUCUCUAAACUUGCACCUUGCGGAUUCCACUAUUAAGAAACCUAUGGGAAUAAUUAAUGAUGUUCUUAUUAUUGCAAAUAGGAAUUAUGUGCCCGUGGAUUUUAUCGUUCUUGAUAUAGAUUGCAAUCCUUCAUGUCCUAUCAUUCUUGGUAGACCUUUCCUUAAAACGAUUGGUGCAAUUAUUGAUAUGAAGGAAGGAAAUAUUAGAGUCCAAUUUCCGUUAUGAAUUUAUUAUGAGAGCCACUUAUGGAUUGCCUACCAAAGAUGGCGAUACCUAGAUCUAUCCUUGCUUUUUAUGCCUAAUUAGGGGCGUUAAACGAUAGCGCUUGUUGGGAGGCAACCCAAUUUUAUUUUUAUUCUUUGCUUUUUGAUCCUGUUUAGUAAUAAAUAAUUUAUCUAGCCUCUGUUUGGGUUGUGUUUUUUGUGUUUAAUUAGUGUUUCUUCCAAGUAGAACCGUUGGGAAGACUUGGGGAAAGUCUUGUUAAUCUUGUUGUAAAAAACAGAAACUUUAGCGCUCACGAGAACUGCUGCCAUUUUUAUUUGAAAAGUGCUAUUUAGUUAAUUCUUUUUUAAGAUGAUUAAUAGAUAAAUUCCUCACGUCCAGAAAUUUAUUUUAGAAUUUUUGGGGUUCCAUAUCUUUCGCUAGCUACAGAUUACUACAGACUGUUCUGUUUUUGACAGAUUCUGUUUUGCGUGUGUUGUUUGCUUAUUUUGAUGAAUCUAUGUAUAGUAAAAUAGUUUAUAAACCAUAGAGAAGUUGGAAUACAGUAGGUUUAAAACCAAUAUAAAUAAAGAAUGAGUUCAUUACAGUACCUUGAAGUGGUCUUUUGUUUUCUUUCGCUAACGGAGCUCACGAGAUUUUCUACUUUGAGUUUUGUGUUGUGAAGUUUUCACGUUUUGGGUAAAGAUUUGAUGGAUUAUGGAACAAGGAGUGGCAAUAGCCUAAGCUUGGGGAUGCCCAUGGCACCCCAAAGAUAAUCUAAGGACACCUAAAAUCCAAAGCUUGGGGAUUCCCCGGAAAGCAUCCCCUCUUUCGUCUACUUCUAUCGGUAACUUUACUUGGAGCUAUAUUUUUAUUCACCAUAUGAUAUGUGUUUUGCUUGGAGCGUCUUGUAUGAUUUGAGUCUUUGCUUUUUAGUUUACCACAAUCAUCCUUGCUGUACACACUUUUUGAGAGAGCCAUAUAUGAUUUGGAAUUUGUUAGAAUACUCUAUGUGCUUCGCUUAUAUCAUUUGAGGUAUAUAAUUUUGCUCUAGUACUUCACUUAUAUUUUUUAGAGUACGGUGGUGGAAUUGUUUUAUAGAAACUAUUGAUCUCUCAUGCUUCACUUAGAUUAUUUUGAGAGUCUUAAAUAGCAUGGUAAUUUGCUUAAAUCUAUAUCUAUACCUACUAAUAAAGCAAGGUGCGUUUAUUCAAUUUUUUCAUCCGUUCACCCAUAUAUCUUUCCCUAAUCUCUCCCUAAUAAUAAAGCACGGAUUGGGUGUCCGGGUUCACCGUCUCGGGGUUUUUUAGAAAAGUCACUCUCAUUUUAGGUAAUUGAACCCGCAAUCCUCGUGAUAAACACCCCGAACCGGUACGGGGGGAGUCACACCUGCACGACCCUUCCUGCAUCCUGCGGUCCUGCCACGCCCCACCUCACCGAGCGUCUCCGGCCACCCCCUGCCGCCGAGCGUCGCCCCCGCGCCUCUGCCUCACCUAGCGCCCGAUCCAGCCGUCGUUCAUCGCCAGCACACGUGGAUCCGGCCGCCCCUCGCCUUCCCCAUCGGCUGCACCUCCUAGAGCCACCGCCCCUGCCAUACUCCGCCACUGGAGGAUCUCCGCCCUGCCUGGAUCCACAUCCCCGCGGCGACACCUAAUAAUNNNNNNNNNNNNNNNNNNNNNNNNNNNNNNNNNNNNNNNNNNNNNNNNNNNNNNNNGUUUUUUAGAAAAGUCACUCUCAUUUUAGGUAAUUGAACCCGCAAUCCUCGUGAUAAACACCCCGAACCGGUACGGGGGGAGUCACACCUGCACGACCCUUCCUGCAUCCUGCGGUCCUGCCACGCCCCACCUCACCGAGCGUCUCCGGCCACCCCCUGCCGCCGAGCGUCGCCCCCGCGCCUCUGCCUCACCUAGCGCCCGAUCCAGCCGUCGUUCAUCGCCAGCACACGUGGAUCCGGCCGCCCCUCGCCUUCCCCAUCGGCUGCACCUCCUAGCGCCACCGCCCCUGCCAUACUCCGCCGCUGGAGGAUCUCCGCCCUGCCUGGAUCCACAUCCCCGCGGCGACACCGGCAGUCGGCGACGAUGGACGACCACGGUGUAGUGCCCUUGGUCCUCGCCGUCCCCUUUCCUGUAUGUAUAUCUCUGUCAGAUCGAUCACUAUUUUGAUAGGAAUCCACUUCCCGGUGAUAGUUCGUUCCUUCCUGUACCUCAUUCAUGUGUGCAGAUAUGCAAGUAAAAGCGACCAUGGUUCAGGCAUCUGUUGGUUAUUGAAAAAUCUGACAACCGCAAGAGAAUAAGAGCUGCAGACUCAGAGUGUAUGUGAUAUCCCUGCCAGAUUGCUACAGCAUAUUCAUGCAGGUACCCUUCUUGCUGCCUUUUGCACAGUAGCAGGCAAUACAAUCACAGGCUUGUAAUGCUCUGUUUCUACCGUGUCUUCACUUUCAUCUCAGUGGAGAUUGAAAAUCGAAACCAUGUUAUUCAUGUAGUUACUGAAGUUUCAAAUCCCUCCCUUAGUCAUUCAUGUCUGUUUGUAUCCACAAGGGAGCAUGCUCCCGCCAGAUGGUCUCCAUGGCACUGCAUAAAUUUUAUAUUGGAAUGAUGUGUUGGUCAAUUCAUAGAUGGUUUGUGAUAUAAUCAUAUAAAGAUUCUCGCGUUACUUUUCUAGCUCUAUGCUCUCUUAUGUACAGGGGGUCAAUGUUUCUCAGCCUAAUGUUAUUCUUAUCAUUAUGUAUGCUCUAUGAUACAGGUGUUGAGGCAGGGAAAAGGCAGCAGUAGAGGCAUGGGCACUUCAGAAAAGGGUGUUGACUGUUCUGAUUGAGGCCAGGCAUGAAAUCUCUUAUUUCAUUGUUUGUUCUUUGUUGAAGUUGUACUUAUUUUGCAUAGUAUUUCAGGCAAUGUUUAGACUUUAGAUAACACAUGUCCCUAGAUUACAUAGUAUGCAUGCCCUCUGUUACCUGCUGAAUGUCUCUGGGGUAACUAAAAAUGUUCAGAAUAAUCUAAAUUUCAGAAAUUCUUCGUGGAUUAUGAUUGGCAGUUAUAUGCCACCAAAUAGCAAGACUGCUACUUGAACAGUUUGUUAUCCAUGAAGCUUAGGCGUGUACACGGACUAAAUUUGCUAUCAUUUUUCACCAUUUUUUCCUAAGGCCAUCAGAGCCAUUGGCACAGUUUGGCUGCCCUAAGGGAGUACUUUUACCCUUUUUUAGUCAAUCAUACACCAGUCACCACAAGUGCAAAUAAUAAUAAAGCACGGAUUGACUCCGUGAGUUCACCGUCACAAUACGCUUCUUCUCGUGAAUUUACGCUUUUAGUUUUUUUAUAAGAUAAUAAAAAGGUUCUCACUUCUAACUAAACAUUUUGUUAAUUUCCAGUUGAAGGCUUCCACGUGCCACCUCCUUCGCCUCCUACGCCGCGUCGAGAAAGGCGGACACGUGCGGUAGGAGCCAAGGGGGAACAGGGAAAGGCGGACACGAGAUUCGUGAACCCAGAGAAGAGAAUGUAUGCGAGCUUGUCCACCUCGGCGGUGUCAGCCGCCAGUGCCACCGUGUCCCGCCUCCGCCUGGCCUGGUCGCAACAAAAGUAUGACUGCAGGUGUGGUCCAUUCAGUUUUGAAGUUUGAUUUACUUGCUUGUGCAUGUGUGUGUGUAUUCUAAGAGAGAGGGAGAGAUUAUUCUGUUCUAGCCAGUCGUAUUUCUGGACAAAUCUGCUCCCCUCCACUCCUUUUUUAUUUGCCUUAAAUCUGAACAUGAAAAGCAGUUACAAAUUGAGAGCAACAGAGUAAACGUUCAAAAGUUCAGAG
rnacentral:lncRNA from 1 species